rnacentral:lncRNA from 1 species
GGUUUUCUUGAGACAUCAUUGCAUUAACAACCAAGUAUUACUUUUAUUGUAAAUAUACAAAAUGGCACUGACCACUUAUACCUUCUAGGACAAAUUACUCCCAGCAUUAAUUUUUACUAGUCACAGGCUUGUAGCUUCAUCCUCGAGGAAGACAUAAUUGAGAGCUACUUUCGACUAAUUUAUUAGAGGAUCACAGCUUCAUCUUUCCUCCAGAUAAUGGAUGCCUUCAAAAGCCCUAGACCUGAAAUAAACCAUUCUAUUAAGAAAUAAUCAUAGUUAAUUCAUUUUGUAAUCAUGUAUCGUAAUUUGCAAAAGUAAAAAGCUAAAAACGUUCAUCUUGGUUUCCUAAUUAAUUCAAUCCAGUUAAGAACCUAGCAUAACCUUUCGAAUUACAAGGAUAAUUAACUUAAUGAAUUUGUUUAUGAAAUCAAAGUUUAUUAAUUUUAGGAGAAAAAAUAAGAGGAUACAGAACAAAAAAUAAUUAAUAAGAUAUAAGUUUUCUCUGAUGAGGAUAUGCUCAUUUUAAUAAAGUGAGAAUGUUACUAACGGAUUAAAAAAAACACAAAUUUUAAGGCAUUAACAAAUAAAAAAUAAUAAUUUCUGAUGUAAUAAAAUCUAUUUUGUUUUUAUAUAUAUUAGUCUUAUUCUCAUUUUGUUUAUUCUCAUUUUAACAAAAUGAGAAUAUCCUCAUUAGAGAAGAAAUACACACUCGGAGAAACACACAAACACACGUAUAAAUAGUCAUACAAACAUUCUAUUAAGUCAUAUGAUUUAAUAGAGUUAGGGUAGAUAUAUUAUUCAACCAUAUGGCUUUAUAGUGAACUGAACAUUGUCUUUAUUGAACCAUGCAACUUAAUAUCAUAUCUGCAUAAAAGAAAAAUGGGAGUGCCUGCACAUGAGAAUUUCUAGUUAAGGCAUUCUCAUUUUAUUAAAGUGAGGAUGUUAAUAAAAAACAAAAAAAUAUGGAUCUCAAUACAUUAAAAUACAAAAAAAUAUAGUUUUCACUAAAAUAUGUAUUUUUUUUUGUAUUUUAGUAAUAUUCUCACUUUAACAAAGUGAAGAUGUCUUCAUUAGAGGACUAUACAUAACAACAACAACAAUAAUAAUAAGGGAUCUAUUUUCAGCUAUAUUGGAGACUGGAGAGUACUUUUUUUUUUUUUUUGUCUUUUACCUUGUCAUUUACUUUAUUAAAUAAGGAAUUCCUUUAUUGUAAAAUGUUCACACACACACACACACACUUAUAUAUGAGUACUAAUCUAGUCUAAGAUCACGGAUUGUAUUAAAGUCUAGAAAAUAUAGCUUUUGGACUUUAUUAAACUAUAAGAAAGCUAUUACACCAUAUUACAUAAUAGCAUUACAUUAUUAUGCCAUAUGUUGUUACAGCUUUCCCGAACUUUAAUAAAGUUAAGAAUUCUAGAUCAGUUUAGUACUAUAUAUCAACUAUUUAACUUAAAAAGAAUGACGGUGAAUAACUUUUGGGACCCAUUCACCUCAUAAUAUAAAAUCACUAUAAAGAAGUGAUACAAGGCAUAUUGGAGGGAUAAAAAAUAGUUACACUUAAAAUCGAGAAUCCUUAGAAAAUGUAUAACAUUUGUGAUGAUUACUAAAACUAGCAUUUAUUAUUAUAUGACGAUUACUUUCGUUUCAAAUGACAAGUAAUAUAGUCUCACUUUAUUUUUAACCACAAUAUAUUUUAUUAUUUGAUGACUAUUUAUAUCAUAUAAGAAAAGUUAAUGUGACUACUCUAAAUUGUUGUUAAAAGAAAACAUUCACGACGAUAUAUUGUACCCACAUAAAUUGAUAUCUAGUGAUUAAAAAUUUCAGUUCAGAAAAUGUUAUUCCAUGACAAUUACUUUUGUUUCAAAUGAUAAGCAAUAUUACCUCACAUUAUUUUUCAGGACAAUGUAUUUUGCCAUGUUGCAACUAGUUACAUUGUAUGAGAAAAGUUUUUGAGACAAUUAAACACAAAUGCAGUCGUUGAUAAAUAAACUAACAAAAUGAGUCUAACAUUAAAAAAGAUUUUAAAAUAUUUAAUCCAAAAAAAUUAAAAUACAAUGCAUGACAUUGAAAUCCAAAUAAAUAUGAUUCUUUACAAAGAAAUGUAAAUAUAAAAGUCAUAAAUCAUGGUCAACAACCUAACAAUAAGAUUCCGUUGUACGUGAAUUUGGAAAGAUCUUACUGGGAUUGAGAAUCAAAUAAUGCAAGAGCCAUAUUUCAAGCCACAAAAGUUCCAUAGACCAAAGUCUAAAAUACCUUAUGAUAUUAGCUUUAUGACAAAAAAAAAAAAGGUUAAGAGGCUAUUAUAAAGACGAUAUCAAGCAUUAUUUCCCAAACUUCAUAAUGGGAUGGAUGAGAUGAAGUAAAUCAAUAACCUGAUGCUGAUGAUCAAAAUUACUAGGGAUGCAUUCUUAAUGUAGGUUUGCCAGUACUUUAAAAUUCAAAUUGCAAAGUGUGGAAAUUUAGCACAAGUGAGGUCAAACUUUUGUCAUAUCCUAAUUGUAUCUUCUUUUAUUUUCCGAUCAAAAGAUUUAAGUAAUCAAGCUAAUAUGUGAUGGUAAGCAUGAAUUUGAUACCUCUCAGCAAGUUUCUCAUCUCUAAUCACAUCUAGCAAGGCAAUAGACACUGUAGUAGCCAAAGGAUUUCCAUCGAAGGUGCUGACAAUAAACAUAAACAAGAGCAUGGUGAGCUAUAGUAAAAUAAGUCUGCACAACAACUAAACAAAAGGGACAAAUAGAUCAAUAAAUAAAUCAUGAAAAUAUAUGGUUGUUCAUGAAUUAGGAAAAGACAAUAAACUCAAAGGAAAUACACAAACUGAGAGCAACAUAAUGAAAUAUAUCAAAGCAAGAAUCAUAGCUUCUCUAACAGAAGAUUGCAAAAGAUAGUAUUAAGACAGUGGCCUCACAACUCAACAUGGUGUAAUCUUUUGGAGGUUCUUUAGCAACUUUCUUCUCAUUAUCAGUGUUGUGCAAAUUUUAUUGAACUCUCAAGUGCACAAAUCUAUUGUAGAAUAGAUUAAUGGUGACGAGUGUCGAUCCCAUGAGCAGGUAGAUUUUAAUUGUGUGUAGAAUUAAUUUUCUAAAUGGGUGGAUGGUUUUGUUGGUGAAAAUGAUUUGGAGUAUUCUAAACUUUAAAUUGGAAUGACGAAAUUAAAUUUAAAGUGAAAACUAUUAUAAUUGAAGCGCUUGGGUAUUUGGAUCUGCAUCAACAUCCACCAUGGGCUAAAUAUUCCUUAUUAGUGCCAAUUAAAUCAUGAGGGGGGAAUCCACACCCCAUGAACCACACUCUAAUCAAUAUGGUGCUAAAGGCUUAUCAUGCCAAAUAAUAAUAACUUUGUAUUAGGGAUCCGGUGAAACCACGGCGGUAUCUAGACAAGAUUAUUAUUAUUUGUCCACGAGAAGUCAAAAGAUCCACAAAAACUAGAGGGGAAGAGAAAAUAAAUUUACCAAAUAAAGCCCAUGACACAUGUUGAGACUUCACCUUCAACCCAAACUUGAAAGAAAAUUAACUACUCGUAAUUGAACUAGGGGCAAAAUGGAAAUUUAUUAAAAUACGUAGAAAAUACAAGAUGAAGGCCCCAUUUUUAUAGAUACAUUGAGUAAAUCAUGGCCAUCAAAUUAAAAACAGUUUGGACGCUUAGGAUUGCGCCAUGUCAUUAGUCAACAGUACGCGGUUUGACCACCGGUUUGAACAGUGACACGGUUUGACCACGCGGUUUGAACAGUGACACGGUUUGGUUGAAAAUAAUCCUGUGUAUAUGCAUUUAUCGUACGUGCACUUUUUGGUCUACUAACAUGCUGCCAUGUCACAGAUCAACAGUGCAUAUGAAUUUUUUCCAAUGGAAUCGUGACACCUCAUUAGUCAAUGCCACAUCAUCAGUAAAUGCCACGUCAUCGAUCCGUCUAUGUGAACAAUGUCGUGAACAGUAACAUAGACAAUACCGUACAUGUGAAUAUUACCGUACAUGUGAACAAUGACAUUUUUCCUUUUAAGCUCCUCCUAAGGUUUUCGACUGUCCUGAGUUCAAAAGUGAUGUCCGUUUUGCCGUCUGAUUUCUCGUUCAUUGUGAAAUGACUAUGAUGCCCCUAAAAAAGAUAAAAUACUUAAUUAAAAUAAAACACAUGUAAUUAAAUCACAAGAAGCUUAAAUACUUAAAAGUAAGGGUGUUAGUAAGACUUGAAAUGUAAAAUGACGAUUUUCUCCUUUAUAAAUAUACAUUUUCUAACACUCAACACACCUCCCAACCAGCUUAUUGCUAGUCCCUAGCAAAUAAAGCGAAAAUAAAAUUCAAACCCAAAAUAUAUUUUUUUUAAAACAAUCUUGUUUAUUCAAUCAAACUAAUGAUAACAAUCAAAUAAAAGUAUAAGCAUUAUCUCCAGUAUAAAGAAAUAUCACACCCACAUCAAUCAUCCAUAUGAAUCAGCCCAGUAGACUUUGUCACAGCUGCUUUCAAGAAUAACAUGUCAAACCCCAAAAUCUCACUGGUAGUAGUGAUACUCUCACAAAGAAAUUAAAUCCAAAAAGUAGUCACUCCAAUGAAUGGUAAUUGAGAGAAAAUAAUAAAGAAGUAAUAUCACACGCUCUCCCCAAGAUGAAAGAAAUAUGCCUUAAGCUUAGAAAUAAUACGAUCUCAAGUCAAACAAAAUGCUAGUCAACCCAAUUUAUUUAUUUAUUUAUUUUUUUAUGCACCACUACAUCUUUUUAGCCCAAAUAACUAGCUUCUACUUCAGACUAUAGCUCCCUAAAAUCAGGAAGGACUUCUACUAGGAUGUAACGUAGGCUAGGGUCAUGGCUAACAAAGGAGGGGAAAUAAAGAAACAAAAAUGUAUGUUUGAAAAAUAAGGGACUUUUGGAGAUUACAAGGUGCUUUAUAUUUUUUUUUUGGUAUUUUCUUUUCUUUUCUUUCUUUUUUUAUCUUUUUUUAUUGUAUUUAUAUAUAUAUAUAUAUAUACAUAUCCUUUUUUUAGCACCAUUAUUAAAAAUACAUAAUCAUCCUUAUUUUCAAACAUAAUUGGGUGGUGGAAAACGUAAAACAUAAGGUGAUACUCCACAUUGGAGUGGGAAAAGAUGAUAGGUUACUAAAAAAAAAAAUUUUUUUUUAAUAUAUAGGCUCAAAGGGGUUAACUAUGGAUACUUUAUGAUAGGGUUGGCUAGAAAGGCUCAAACGGAUCAAAGAUGGCCUUUCCAUCGUCUUUUAGGGUUCUAAAUAAUCUUCCAUAUCUACUAGUUAAAUGAACUUCCAAAUGUAGCAACACAUAUUUUUUUCUUUUUUCUUUUUACAAUUUUUUUUAGAGGGUUGACUCUAAAGAAAUCUAAAGAUCAUGUAUAAAAUAAUAAACUGCUAAGCUGUAUGAAGAAUGAGCAAAAUGAUUACUCUCCAGGAAAAAUGAUAGGCUCAAAAACUUACUUGGUACUUAUUAUGACAUGUUCACUCCUUCAAGCAACUCAUAUUUGUCUCCGACAUCAACAUGUAGAGUAGCAAACAUGGCUUAACAUCACUUAAGACCAAAGAUAAUACAAAUACUAAAAUUUGAAAUUCAUCAUGUCAUUCAAUGUUAAAACAAAUCACACAAUUUUUUUUUAAACAACAUUUUACUCCCCAACCUAUUCUAAGCAUGAAAGGAAAAUAUGUAUGCAAAAAGGUGAAAAAUGAUGCAGAAAAACUAAUUAGAAAAGUUACACUUAAAAUGAUAGAAAAAGAAAAUGGUUUUUUUUUUUAACUAAGAAGAUGCGUUUCUAGAGGCACUACACCCAUAUUCAGCUAUCUUUGACUCAAAAAUUUGAAAAUGUAUAUUUAUAAAGGAGAAAUUAAAAAGAAGAAGUUAAAAAAAAAUGAAUAUCAAAGCUUAAUAAAGAAAAAGAAAAUGUCUGGAAUUUUUUUUUUAACGAAGAAGAUGCGUUUCUAGAGUAACUACACUCCAUAUUCAGCCAUCUUCAACACAAAAAAUUAGCAAUAGUUAGUUUCUACAACAAAAAAUCAGUAAAAACUUAACCAAGAUUCCCCAAUUGUCGACUAUUCCCUCCCCCCAACCAGAACAAACAUUGUCCUCAAUAUUUUAAAGUAUAGAAGUAGAGUUUAGAAGACAUCACCUGGGUGGUGCAACACAGAAGAAAAUAUUUACAAGCGGAGAGUUAAAUCUAAUUUGUACUUCUUACUGCGGCUACUGUUACCAUAAUUAUUUGGAGACUCCAAUACAAGGGUCCUUGAGUCUGGCUCUGGUUUAUAAGCUUGUAACAUAUCAAGUAGUUCAUUAACAGUGUGAGCACAAAUAAAAAGCUUUUUCAUUGUGGAAGGAAUGAAAUAGUUUUUUAUUGCAUGGUUAAGAAGUGCGAUGAAGCCAUCAUAAAAGUUAUUGACAUUUAACAAACCGAUGGGUUUCUGGUGAACGUGUAGAUGGGCCCAAAAUGCUAAUGUGAUAAGUGCCUCUAGAGUUGCAAGAUCUCAUGGAAGGAAAAUAAAAGUAUCAGCAUGAUUAAGCAUUUCAGUUAUUCUUUCUUGCAUACCUGAGACGACUAACUCUUUUCCAGUCGGUGAGUCAUACAAACUGCCCAAAGUUUUUAGGGCCCUUGAAAUGAUGCCUAACACUUGGCUUCCUCUUACAAAAGCAGCUUCUGAGACCAAUUUUGAUAACCCUCGGUUACCGCCUCCAUACACCAAGUGUAAUUUUCUCUCUGCUAUGCUUCGACCAAGAUCUAUGGCUGCCUCAACGAUCUCUUUAUGUUUGCCAUAGUUAAAUCCAGAAAGCACACAAAUGUUCUUGAAUUGUCUAUUGGGAGUAGUCGCCAUUGGGAUACUUCUCAAAAACAAUUUGUGAGUGCUUGACAAAAAAUCAUAUUUAAUAAUCUUGGUGAUAGUGAGUCACAACUGUGUAUGAGGUAGCAUGUCAGUGUCAAUUAAUGUAUAAAGUACAUGGCUCGAGAGUAAAAAAGCAAACAGUAAAAAGAAAAAAAUGAUAAAAUAAAAUUAUUAAAGACAAUAAUGCAAAUGAUAAAACAACAGUAAAAUAAAACAACAGUGAAGUAAAAGGAUAUUUACAGGUAAUUGCAACUGUGACUCACAUCUUCCUCUGGUUUUACGUCCAUAAACUGCUUGAACGCCCUCUAUGGGUCGAGGAUGGGCUUCCCAUCAAGUUUUCUUAUAAACUGGCAAACAAGGUCGUUUAUAGUCAGAUUCCAGAGACUAUAUCGUGCAUGCUCUUUCUGGAAUAAUGGCCAUAACUGGAGAAUCGCUCCUUACACAUAUCCACUGGGAUGUGUUUCAAGAGACAAAAGGAUAUCAUCCAAUGACUCCUUAUUCAAGCCAUCCCUAAUGAAUUGAAUCUUAUCUUCCCUGUUAUUAGACACCAUUCCUAAAGAACAUGGGUUUUUAUUGCAUCUCAUUCUGGCACAUUUAUGACAAGCAACAUAAAUUCUUUGAGCUCUUCGUUUUCUUACAUAAUUUCCUUUACCACAACCAGGCAUGUAUGCAAUAAAUUUUGCAGGUAAUUCACCUAUCAAACGUGCUUUGGCCUCGAUUAACCAACGGAUGUCAGCAGGUAUGUUAUUCCUCAUGAGCAAUCGCAUGCGUUCAGACCGAGCUUUAUAGAUUGUAAGGAGGGCAUUUUGAGGAAGUGAAGGGAAUUGAUUGUGAAGCUUUGCUAAAAUCUCGUUUCUGUCAUACAUUCGCCUCAGAAUAUCAGUUAUUACUGAAAACUGAAGUAACCGACUUGAUUGUCACGGAGUACUGUUAUCCGCCACUUCACCGGGGAAACAAACUAAAGCACAUAAACAAAGAAAAACAAACUAAAACACAUAAAGAAAAUUACAAUCAUCCUCUUAUUGAAUUUACCUCAAGCUCCAACUCGAUCUUGUAGACACUUCUCUCAAUGUCUCUGAGUUGGCUUUCUAAAUCCUCAUCAUAAGAUACUAACUCUGUUGGUUACAGAGCCCAAAUACGAUGUGUUUUACAAAAUCGAAUCUGCCUUUUGAGAUGAGAUUUUACACGUUAAAGUGGUUUAAGAAUGUCUAGGAGGAACUGUUUAACUAUGGCACUCAUGAUUAACAAUGAUAAGAGAAAACUUAAUGGUUAAACAAACACACUUAUGCAAAAAUAAUUUCAAUUAGCAAAAGAAUAAAAAAAACAAAGAAAGAAAAAAAAACUCAAUUCAAAUCUGGUGGGUCACUCAAAUUUAUUUCGAUGUCCUCUCUAUGUGAUUGAUACUCUAGAUAUGGCUUUAAUCUUUGACCAUUAACUUUAAAUGUGACACCGUUCUUUGGGUCCUUAAUUUCAAUUGCCUCAUGUGUAAAAACAAUAUGAACAAUAAUGGGGCCAGACCAUCGAGAGCGUAACUUACCUGAGAAUAGGUGCAAGCAAGAAUUGAAUAAAAGCACUUUCUGACCUGGAGUGAAAGAUUUUCUCAUAAUUUGCUUGUCAUGAAAGACUUUCAUUCGCUGCUUGUAAAUUUUGGCAUUUUCGUAUACAUCAUUGCAAAUUUCUUCAAGUUUUGGCAGUUGUAAUCUUCUUUCUGAGCUACCUUGCUGCAUGUCAAAGUUGAAUUUCUUGAUGGCCCAAUAUGCACGAUGCUCAAGUUCCACAUGUAGGUGGCAAGUUUUUUCAUACACUAGCCUGUAGGGUGAUAUCCCAAUCAGGGUCUUGAAAGCCGUUCUAUAUGCCCAUAAUGCAUCAUCAAGUCUUAAUGACCAAUCUUUUCUGUCUGGCCUCACCGUCUUUUCUAAUAUGUGCUUUAUUUCUCGAUUGGAGAUCUCAACUUGGCCACUGGUUUGCGGAUGAUACGGGGUCGCCACUUUGUGAGUGAUUGAAUACUUUGUCAAAAUAACUUUGAAUGCUUUGUUACAAAAGUGGGUACCACCAUCACUGAUUAUUGCUUGAGGGAAUCCAAAGUGCGAAGCAAUGUUACUUUUCAAAAAUCCUAUCACCACCUUGUGAUCAUUGGUUCUGUAUGGAAUUGCUUCUACCCAUUUCGAUACGUAGUCAACAACAACUAAUAUGUAUUGAUGGCCAAAAGAAGGGGGAAAGGGUCCCAUGAAGUCGAUACCCCAUACGUAAAAAAUCUCAACCACUAAAAUUGGAUUUAGUGGCAUCAUGUUCCUUUGUGUAAUGCUCCACAUUCGUUGAUACCUAUCAUAUGAAGAGCAAAAGGUGUAAGCAUUUCGAAAUAUAAUUGGCCAAUAGAAACCAUAUUGUAAAACUUUUAUAGCUGUUUUCUUAGCACUGAAAUGGCCUCCACAAGCUUGUUCAUGGCAGAAUGAAAGAAUAUUUUAAAUUUCAUUUUCUGGGACACAUCGUCUAAUAAUUCGAUCUGCACAAUCCUUGAACAAAUACGGGUCAUCCCAAAAGAAAUUCUUUAUUUCUGCAAAAAAAUUAGCCUUGUCUUGCUUGGUCUAAUGCUCUGGAAGUUGACCUAGAACAAGAUAAUUCACGAUGUCAGCAUACCAUUGUAAUACUUCCACACUCAUUAAUUGUUCAUCUGGAAAAGACUCAUUCAAAGUUAAUGGUUCUGUAAUUGUGUCAAAAUGGAGAUGAGAGAGAUGGUCAGCCACAACAUUUUCUGUGUCUUUCUUAUCUUUAAAUUUCAAGUCGAAUUCCUGCAAAAGUAACACCCAACGAAUUAGUCUAGCUUUUGCAUCUUUCUUUGUGAGAAGAUAUUUAAGAGCAACAUGAUUUGUGAACACAAUUAUUUUACAACCAAUGAGAUAAGAUCGAAAUUUUUCCAAUGCAAACACUACUGCUAGCAUUUCUUUUUCAGUAGUUGAAUAGUUCAACUAUGCAUCAUUCAAUGUCAUACUAGCAUAGUAAAUAACAUGAGGAAUUCGAUUAACUCUUUGUCCUAAUACUGCUCCUACUGCAUAAUCAGAUGCAUCACACAUGAGUUCAAAUGGUAAGCUCUAGUUUGGAGGCUGAAUGAUGGGUGAUGAUGUCAACAACUGCUUUAAUUUUUCAAAAGCCACAAGACAUGAAUCAUCAAAGACAAAAGAUACAUCCUUAGCAAGUAAAUUGCAUAAGGGUUUAGAAACUUUGCUAAAAUCUUUAAUGAAACGUCUAUAAAAACCAGCAUGCCUAAGGAAAGAUCUUACUUCUCUGACUGUUUUAGGUGGAGGAAGAUUAGAAAUGAGAUCCACCUUGACUUUGUCAACCUCAAUACCUUUACUUGAAAUGAUGUGACUGAGAACAAUACCUUGUUUUACCAUAAAAUGACACUUCUUCCAAUUUAAGACUAAGUUCUUCUCGAUACAUCUCUGCAGAACUAGUGUUAGAUGAUGUAAACAUUGAUCAAAUAAAUCACCAAAGAUAGAAAAGUCAUCCAUAAAGACUUUAAGAAAUUGUUCAACCAUAUCAGAAAAAAUACUUAACAUGCAUUGUUGAAAUGUAGCAGGUGCAUUACAUAAUCCAAAUGGCAUCCUCCUAUAUGCAAAAGUGCUAAAAGGGCAAGUGAAAGUGGUUUUCUCUUGAUCUUUUGGUGCUAUAGGGAUCUGAUUAUUUCCCGAAAAGCCAUCUAGAAAGCAAUAAAAUUCAUGGCAUGCUACUCUAUCAAGCAUUUAAUCGAUAAAUGGUAAAGGAAAAUGGUAUUUACUUGUGACAGAAUUCAACUUUCUAUAAUCAAUGCAUACACACCAUCAUGUAGUCACUCUAGUGGGCAUUAAUUCAUUAUCAGCAUUGGUAACUACUGUGACUCCUAACUUUUUGGGGACAACUUGUGCAUGACUGACCCAUGAACUAUCAGAAAUUGAAUAAAUGAUACAUGCGUCUAAUAGCUUAAGGACUUCAGUUCUAACGACUUCUUUCAUGUUAGGAUUUAACCGACGUUGCAUUUCCCUAAUAAGUUUACCAUUUUCAUCAAGGUGAAUGUAAUGCAUGCAGUCUACUGGGUUUAUACCUUUUAUGUUUGCUAUGGUCCAUCAUAAUGCUCCUUUGUGCUCUUUUAAAACAUUCAACAACUUACCAUUUUGUUCGUCAUUGAGGGAUGAUGAGAUGAUUAUCGACAGAGUACUUUCUUCUCCUAAAAAUGCAUAUUCCAAUAUGUUGGGUAAUGGUUUGAGCUCGAGUUUCGAUGGUGAUUCUAAUGAUGGGAUGAGUUUCUUCUCUGAUGGUGCUAGUUGUUCAACUCUUGACUUCCAUUUAUUGGUGUCCAUGAAUGGUGCUGAGUCAAGUAGGGCGUUGACCUCAUCGACUGAUCUGCUAAUAUCAAAAUCCAAACUAAAGUGAGUUAAGCAUGUUUGUAAAGGGUCAUCAUUAAGGUUUGAAAGAAAAGUAUUAUCAACUAAUGCUUUUAUUAAAUCCACAUCAACAAUUUCAUCAUCUGCAUUGUGAGGUUGUUUGGCAAUGUUGAAGAUGUAUAGCUCCAUAGUCAUGUUGCUAAAGGACAACUGCAUAUUUCCGGUUCUGCAUUGAAUGUGAGCAUCGGCAGUUGCCAAGAAAGGUCGGCCUAAGAUAAUGGGGAUGUGCUUCCUUGAAUCCUAGAUUGGUUGAGUGUCAAUUACAAUGAAAUAAACAAAAAAAUAAAACUUGUCUACUUGGAUAAGCAUGUCCUCCAUAAUACCAUGAGGUUUUUUCAUGGACCGAUCUGCAAGCUGUAACACCAAUGGAGUUGGGUGUAAUUCUCCCAGUCUAAGUUUCACAAAUACUGAAUAAGACAACAGAUUUACACUAGCUCUUAAAUCCAACAAAGCAUUCUCAAUUAUGUGGUUCUCUAUGCUACAUGAGAUAGUGGGGGAGCCUGGGUCUUUUGCAAUUUAGAGGAAUUUUGUGUUGGAUUAUAGAACUAACGUUUUCUGUUAAAAAUGCCUUCUUUUGAACGUGACUGUUUCUCUUUUUAGUACAAAGGUCUUUAAGAAACUUGGCAUAAGAUAGAACUUAUUUUAUAGCAUCAAGCAAAGGGAUGUUAACACUUACUUGUUUGAAGAUUUCAAGAAACUCACCUGUGGAUUUUCCUUUCUUUCCUUUAGCUAACUUCUGAGGAAAUAGAGCUUUGGCAACAUAUUCUCGUGGGUUGGUUUCUUCUUUCUCUUCCGAUGGUGAGUCCUCAACAUUCACAAGUACAAUUUGAUUUUCUUUUGUCACUGGCAUCUCCACUUUGUUGUCGACUUCUUUUCCUUUUCACAAGGUCAUGACUGUUUUAACCUCUCCAUAUUGCUGUGGUGAACUGGUACUUACUUCAUGUACUCCUUUAGGAUUAGGCACUGGUUGACUUGGAAACUUGCAUUUCUCAACAGUCAUUGCCAAGGUCUAAACUGAAAAAGCAAGUUGUCCCACCAUUUUCUUGAGGCUUGAAACUGAUUGGGCUUGUGAGUUGAAGCCUGCCCUCAUCUCAUUUCGUAGUUCAUCAAUGGUGCGGUUCUGUUGUUCAAUCGUGGAGUGAGUAAUAUUCUUGAAAUUCUAUAGUGAAUCCUCCCAUAAUCUGAGUUGAGAAUAGUUAUGGUUCUGAUUGUAUGGUCUGAAUGGUGGCUAAGAGGCUUGAGGAAUUUGAGAAAUUGGUUGCAUUGGUAGAGAUGGAGCUACUGGUCCAUUCUGUUGGAAUCCUUGAGACCACGAAAAAUUGGGGCGGUCUCUCCAUCCAGGGUUAUAUGUUUUCUCAUUACACCUAUGGCAUUGGCUUGAUCUGAGUACGAGUCAUGGUCAUGUGGUUCUGUUGAUUUAGAGUCGGUAACGAUGCUAUUUGUCGAGAAAGACCUCCAACUAUCUCCUUGACUUAUUUGAUUCCCGAACUUGACUCGCCAAUGUGAACCUUAUUCACUCGUUUAAUUCUUUUAAUAUUCUUGAACGAUUGACUCCGUUGUUGGGAAUUAUCCGCUUGUCUCUGGAAGAACUCCUAAAUCUCUGAUGCAUUUUUCGACAUUAGCUCUCCUCCACUUGUUGCCAUUAGCUAUUCUUGUACAUGUGGCAAUAAUCCCUCCAAAACGUAUUGGCAUUGGUGCCAUUUCUCGUACCCAUGAUGUGGACACUUCAAGAGUAGCCCAUUGAAUCGCUCCCAUGUUUCUAAAAACUGCUCGUCUUCUCUCUGGGUAAACUCUGAAAUUUCCCUGCGAAUAACAUUGGUUUUAUACACUGAGAAAUAUUUAUUCAAAAAUUUAGUUACCAUUUGUUCCCAUGAUGAAAUGCUAUUAGCAGGUAAAGUAUUUAACCAUGAACGAGCUCUAUCCUUUAAAGAAAAUGGGAAUAAUCUAAGUUUAACAUCAUCGUCUGAAAAAUUCUCAUAUUUAAAAGUUUGACAAACAGCAUGAAAAUCAUUCAGAUGAUUAUAUGGGUCCUCAUUUUCUAAGCCAUAGAAUGUUGGGAGACAAUUUAGCACACUAGGUUUUAGUUCAAAACUCCUAAUAGCUACAUUUGGGUAUCUUAUGCAUGAUGUGCUCAAAUUAGCUAAGGGACUGAAAUAGUCCUUAAAUGGCCUCUCUGGUGGUACUUGUUGUUAUUGCAAAUCCAUUUAUUUUUAACGUGUUUGUAUGUGCGAAGUGUUUUAUCUAGUUCAAGGUCUAUAGGUUCAAGAUUAGGUAAUAAUGACCUUCGAUCAUGCAUGCAAUAAAUACAAAAAAAAUGAGAACAAAAUUAAUAAAAAUAAACAAGAAGGAGAAAUUACGGUACUAACCUUAUCACGUUGUUACAACAUUUUCUAUAAAAAAAACACACUUAAAAAAAUACGUUAAAUAAAUUAACUAAAAAAAAUUAAUAAGAUAAAAAAAAUUACAAAGAAAAAUAAAUUGAAAAUUAAAUUACAGAAUUUUAAAGGAGAGAAAAAGAAAAGAAAUUCUUACCUCUAAAUGUAGAUUCAUUUUUUUCCUUUUUUUUAAUAAGAAAAAAAUACAAGAAAACAAAUAAAAGAAAUUAUUCACAAAAAUUAAUUCUAUGAAUUAAAAUAACUUACCUCCCCAGCAAAGGCGCCAAAAACUUGUUAUACAAAUUUUAUUGAACUCACAAGUGCACGGAUCUAUUGUAGAAUAGAUUAAUGGUGACGAGUGUCGAUCUCACGAGGAGGUGGAUUUUAAUUGUGUGUAGAAUUAAUUUUUUAAAUGGGUGGAUGGUUUUGUUGGUGAAAAUGAUUUGGGGUAUUCUAAAAUUUAAAUUGGAAUGACGAAAUUAAAUUUAAAGUGGAAACUAUUAUAAUUGAAGCGCUUGGAUAUUUCGAUCCGCAUCAGUAUCCACCAUGAGCUAAAUAUUCAUUAUUAGUGCCAAUUAAAUCAUGAGGGGGAAUCCACACCUCAUGAACCACACUCUAAUCAAUAUGGUGCUAAAGGCUUAUCAUGCCAAAUAAUAAUAACUUUGUACUAGGGAUCCGGUGAAACCACGGCGGUAUCUAGACAAGAUUAUUAUUAUUUGUCGAUGAGAAGUCAAAAGAUCCACAAAAAUUAGAGGGAAAGAGAAAAUAAAUUUAUCAAAUAAAGCCCAUGACACAUGUUGAGACUUCACCUUCAACCCAAGCUUGAAAGAAAAUUAGCUACUCAUAAUUGAAUUUGGGGCAAAAUGAGAAUUUAUUAAAGUACGUAGAAAAUACAAGAUGGAGAAGGAAUUACAGAAAAUACAGCCCAAAAAUGGAUUCAGGGAUGCAAAAUUAGGGAGGGGAGACCCCCUUUUUUUAUAGAUACAUUCAGUAAAUCAUGGCCAUCGGAUUAAAAACAGUUUGGACGCUCAGGAUUGCGCCACGUCAUCAAUCAACAGUACUCAGUUUGACCACACAGUUUGAACAGUGACACAGUUUGACCACGCGGUUUGAACAGUGACACAGUUUGGUUAAAAAUAAUCCUGUGUAUAUGCAUGUACCGUACGCGUAAUUUUUGGUCUACUAACAUGUUGCCACGUGACCGAUCAACAGUGCAUAAGAAUUUUCUCCAAUAGAAUUGUGACAUCUUAUCAGUCAAUGCCACAUCAUCGGUCAAUGCCAUGUCAUCGAUCCGUUUAUGUGAACAAUGUCGUGAACAGUAACGUAGAUAAUACUGUACAUGUGAAUAGUACUGCACAUGUAAACAGUGAUAUUUUUCCUUUUAUGCUCCUCAUAAGGUUUUCGACUGUCCUGAGUUCAAAAGUGAUGUCCGUUUUGCCGUCUGAUUUCUCGUUCAUUGUGAAAUGACAAUGAUGCCCCUAAAAAACAUAAAAUACUUAAUUAAAAUAAAACACACAUAAUUAAAUCAUAAGAAGCAUAAAUACAUAAAAGUAAGGGUGUUAGUAAGACUUGAAAUGUAGAAUGACGAUUUUCUCCUUUAUAAAUAUACAUUUUCUAACACUCAACAAUCAGCAUUAGGAUUAUUUUUCAUUUCUUCAUUCUUUAUCAAGACAUCAUUAAUAUUGCUUUUCUUUUACUUUUUCCUUUUCGCUACUUCUCUUGGAUCCUGGUAAAUAUAACUAGAUAAUAACUGAGAACUGAAACUACAAUUCAAGUCCAUUAACAAAUUAAAAUAUAAAAUUUAAUUUUUUAUGUGUACCUUUGAUUGAGCAGAAUUAAAAGAAGAACCAUUAGUUCUGUUAUUUCAUUCUUGUACAUAUAAGAAGUAGAAGUAGUCAUAGUUCUUUGAGUGACCUACUGCUUAGUUGAAGACAUUGUAGUGCUUUGGAUUUUGGUCACUGCAUAAUUAUUAUCAGAAGGCUCGUUAUAAUUAUCAUUGUCGUUGUUCUGUUGUCACAAAGUAUGAGGUUAACUCGUUUAAUAUACAAGAUCAGGUAAAGAAAGAUAAGAUAAUCAUCACUAAUUAAAUUUGUAAAAAGAAAUUAAUUUUGGCAAUUAAUUCAGCAUACAACAAAAAAAAAAGUUUUCAGUGUAUCUGACUAGUCUCUAGACAUUUGUUUUACUUUCAUUACUCUUAUCAAGUCCUGCUUCUUCUCUCUUUCAUUACUUUGAGUAAGUUUCUUCUUAUUGUAUUCAUUUAUUAAACAAAUGAUAGUGAUUUGGCAUCCAUGUUUCUUAAUUUUUUGGGUAAAAAAUUAAGUGCUUUUGUACUAAAAAACAAAUUAAAUAUGAUAUUCAUGCUAUUUAAAACUAUGUUCGUAGCAAACUUGGUAUAGUUCAAUAGAAAAUUAAAAUUCCAUCACCCUAUUUAUGAACAUGUCUAUCCCUAGAUAUAGAAGUUAAAUUGGUGGUAUUACAGUCAAUACGAUUACGCCUAGAAAGAAAAUUAUAGCAUAAAGCAUCAAAGGGCAAAACUGGCAUGAUAUAUGAUAUUGCUAAUUUCUAAGUGCUCUUUAAACUAAUUUUCUAAGGAGAGAAAAGUGAACAAAAAAUAAUUAACAAUUUUGAGAAUACAUAAAAACAUUGAAUUUCUACAUUUUCAUCUCUGCUAACGUAAUGUUGCCAUCAGCAAUUGGAUUUAGUAUUCUUAGAUACUCGGCCGAAAAAUUAAACUUUCUACCAUUCAAUCUCCACCUGAAACAAAAGAUCAAGUAAAAGAUAGAUAGUUAGAAUUGCAUUAUGCAAGCAAUCAAGUUUUACACAACAAUUACAAGAACAAUACAACCUCCUAAUAAUUGAUGAAAAUAGAUUAAAAACUUCCCAAUCAAAUCAAGUCCUUUCCAAAAUGGGCUUCUCUCUUUUUAUUUAAAAAAUGGUUCCUACCAUGAAAAUUGAGGCUUCAUGAAGAACAAGAACAGAAAAAGAGAUUUUAAGAGAUGGGUUUUGGGUUUAAGAGGAAAUUUUGAAAUGGGUCAAUUUGAAUUUGAUAAUUUGAUAAGGAAAUAAGAAGAGGAUGGAACUGUUAUUGGGAGAGCAAAAUAUUUGAAAUAAGGAAAAGUGUAGAUAAGGCAAGUAAAAAUGCUUUGGUAAAUUGAUCGUUGGAUUUUAAAGACUUUAGUCGAACAGAGGUCAAGAAGUGGAACCAAAGAAGACAAAAAAAAAAAAAAAAAAAAAAAAACCAAGUGCCUUGCACAUAUGACAAUACUAAUACCAAUAGAAACUAAUUUUCUUAAGCUACUUGAAUUUUGAGAUAGCUAAAUAUUUUUAAAUAAAAUAAAAUAAAAUGGUUUGUUAUUGGGCCAAUUCGAUAUAGAUUUGGAUCCAAAUUUAAAGUUAAAUUCUCUAAAUUUGUCAAAAUAAUAAUACAUCACAAAUGAGUUAUACAAAUUUGUCUGUACAAAGAAUUGUGGCAUGAAAGAAUUAUUUGAAAAGUCUAUCAAUCCCUUCAUAUGUAAAUUGAUGUGAUAAAGUUAUAAAUAUAAAUUUUUACGAAGUGUUCAUGAAUUAGUAAUUGUGUUCAAUUCUUUCUAACCAUUUCAUAAAUUGUAGAAAAGUAACGGUUAGGAAAGGUCUAUUCACAGGAGUUUAAAUUUUAUCCAGACAAAAUAGUAGUAACAAAAUAAAUUGGUUACAAUUACUUAAGAAAAAAACUUUUACUUACGAUAUUUUAGUCUUUUCAUUGUAGAUCAUCUGCAAUAAAAAAAUAAAGUCUUAAAGUUAUAAGAAAUUAUAAUAGCUUUAGAUAUUACUAUUAUGUGUGUAGAAGUUUUUAUAAAUUUACACAUAUUUUUUAGUUACAAAAUAGUUUCGUCACCUAUAAUUAUAUUUUGCAACUAUUUUAUAAAAUUCUCCCAUAAUGUUGAAUUUUUCAAGGGAAGUUUUUUUGGAAAAAGAAACUUGUCUUUUUACAAUCAAAAUAAUGUUCCUUACAAAAAAAGUUGAAUUAGGGACCAAGUAGUGCGUCUUAGGAAAAAAAUAACUUGGUCACAAAAAUACAACAUUAUCUAAGACAAAACUUUCAACUACUAUUUUUAGUUUUGUCCCUGUAGUAACUCAUCUAGGACUGAAAAAUGAGGUCUUAAAAUUAUAAGAAAUUAUAAUAGAUUUAGAGACUAAAUAUUAUAUGUAUUGAUGGUUUAUGUAAAUUUGCACUUGUUUUUCAAUUACAAAAUAGUUUCGUCACCAUUAAUUAUAUUUCGCAACUAUUUAUUGUGUCAUGAAUAAUGAAAUAUUGUCCUAAAAUGUUCAAUUUUUCAAGGAGAUUUUGGGCCAAAAGAACUUGUCAUUUUUUGACUAAAAUAAUAUUUGUCACAAAAAGGUUGAAUCAGCGACCAAGUAGUGUCUCAGGAAGAAAUAACUUGGUAAAAAAAAUACAAUGUAGUUCAAGACAAAACUUUGAACUACUAUUUUUGAUUUUGUCACUAUAAUUACUCAUCUAGGACUAAAAAUAAGGGCCUUAAAAUUAUAAGAAAUUAGAAUAGCUUUAGAGACUAAUAUAUUUGUCACGGAUGGUUUGGUUAAAUUUACACUUAUUUUUUAGUUAUGGAAUAUUUUCGUUACCUAUAAUUAUAUUUUCUAACCAUUUAUUUUGUCCUAAAUGAUGAAAUAUUGUCCCAAAAAGUUUCAAAUUUGAAGAUAAUUUUUUGUCCUCAAAGAUUUUUUUUUUGCUACUGUAAUAAUGUUUGUCACAAAAAUAUUGAAUCAGAGACCAAUCGGUCACAUAAAUACCAUUUUGUGACCAAAUGUUAAAGUGUUGUAAAAAAUAUUGUCUUAAAAAGUCAAAUUCCUUGUAGUGUAACACAUCUGGGUUAUUAUUGUUAUGUUUAUUUUGACCCUGAACAUCUUUAUGCUUCUAAAAAUUGAGCUAUAUACAAUUCCCUUUGAAGCGACCCUACUUCUCUCUCACAUAGGUGAUUUCUUAAUUAAGAAUAACCCAUUUUACACUACUUAGAUUCUUAGUGUAUAAGAAUCAUUAAGAGCAUAGCUCAUCCUUUCUCCUACUGGUGUCACUAUUUUAUUAUAGGAAGGGACAAGAUGAUACCCCAAUAGUGAUCUCACCUGGUCUUUAAUAAUUAAGUUGUCCCUUUGAACAUAGAGUUUGGGAAUCUCCAGUUAACUAGGUUAGAUUUUCUUUUGUUAUUGAUGUAGCAGAAGUUUAAUGUUCAAGAUAUUCCGUUGAUUCUAGAGAAUGCCGGAAUAAAAGAACAACUAAACUCACGUUGAUUCAAAAGAAUGCCAUGAAUUUAGGGGUUAAGACUUGCCGAUUCCGUAUAAUACCGAGAAUUAACUGAACUGAAACACUCACAAAAAGAUUUAAAAAUUGAAAAUAUUAUUGAAAUCGAACAUGCCUUCAAAGGCUACAAGAGGAAGCUAUUUAUAGUAGCAGAAAUUAUCCUAAAUCACUAAAGGAAAACAAAAUUCUAAAUUGAAAAGGAAACAAAAUUCUAAAUUGGAAAGGAAAUUAAAAGUCCUUAAUUAAUUAGGAAACAUAUCCUAGUAUAAAUUUCUAUUCUGCAUCAUUCCCCCCAGGAUGGAAAGAAUUCGCUCUCGAAUUUAGAUUAUCAGCAAUAGCAUCUUCAUCAUGAUCACCUUUGUAAGGAAUAAGAUGCUUGACAUUGAAUACAUCUGCUGUGCAAAUAUCACUAGGAAGCUUCAGUCUGUAUGCAUUAGGAUUUAUCUUAUCGAUAAUCUCUAAAGGUCUUAUUUUCCUGGUAGAAAGCUUGUUGUACUCGCCAACUGAGAGAACCUAUCUUUGGUUAAGACAGCCCAGACAAGAUCUCCCACUUGAAAUUCUAAAGCUCGACGCUUUUUGUUUGCCACAAUUUUAUAACCUUCGGUAGUCUGCUUCAAAGACUCUUGCGUAGUUUCAUGAAUCUUCUUAAGCUGCUCAAUAAAGUUUUCCGCCUUACUGCUUUUCAAAUUAAAUCUGGAAUUGGAGCCAAGUUGAUGGGAGCUCGUGGAAUAUAUCCGUAAUUCACUUGAAAAGAGCUUAAACCAAUACUACGCUUAACUGCACGGUUAUAAGCAAACUCGACUUGAUAUAACUUCUGGUCCCACGUCUUCAGGUUAUCGCCAACUAGACUACGUUUCCUAAAGAGCGGUUGACAACUUCGGUUUGAUCAUCUGUUUGUAGUGAUAAGCACUACUGAAAUUCAAGCGAGUGUUAGUCAACUUCCAUAAUGUCUUCUAAAAAUGGCUAUGCAAUCGUGUAUCCUGGUCAGAUACUAUAGAACUCGGUAACCCAUGCAAUCUAUAGACUUCCUUGAAGAAUAAACGAGCAACAAUCAAAGUGUCUGUAGUCUUCUUGCAAGCAAUUAAGUGAAUCAUUUUCGAGAAUCGAUCAAGAACAACAACUAUUGAAUCCAUACCCCUUUAAGUGCGGGGUAAUCCCAAAACAAAAUCUAUGCUAAUGUCAGCCCAAGGUUGUGUUGGAAUCGGCAGCGGCAUAGAUAACCAGUAUUAGUUGCUACACCUUUGGAAACCUGACAAAUGCGACAAGUCUCGACAUAGUGAUAGACAUCACGCCUCAUAGUAGGCCAAAAAUAAGUGUUGGCUAUUAGAGCGAGAGUUUUGUUACGAUCCAUGUGCCCUUCGUUAUGUAACUCUGCAAUGAUUUUCAAUCUCAAACUUGAGUCAUGAACACAUAACUAAUUACUCUUGAAAAGGAAUCCGUCAUGUAAAUGAUAAUUUGAGCGAAACCCCGCAACAACGUCUUCUAAUAUAGAAGAAAAGAAAGGAUCAGAAGCGUAUAGCUCUCGAAAUGUGUCAAAUCCGAGAACUUGAUUAUGCAUUUGUGUUAAUAAAAAAAGUUCAUCGACUAAGUGCAUCUGCUACCCGAUUGGAUUCGCCAGAGGUAUGCUUCACCACAAAAGUAAACUGCUGAAGGAAUACUGUCCACGUGGCAUGUCUGUGAGAGAGCUUGUCUUGACCAUUGAGAUACUUUAACGCCGUAUGGUCAGUGUAUAAAAUAAAGUCUCUAUGAAUUAAAUAAUGUCACCAAUGUUUUAACGCUUGGACUACUGCGUAAAACUCCAUGUCAUAAGUGUUGUAGCGUGCCUUUGCACCGUUCAACUUCCCACUUAAAUAAGCUAUAGGCUUACCCUGUUGGCUAAGAAUAGCUCCAAUGUUUACCUUGGAAGCAUCAUAAUGUACCUUAAAAGUGAGUGAAAAAAUCUGGUAGGGCAAGUAUUGGGGUAGUAAUCAACUUUUCUUUGAUAAUCUUGAAUGCCUUAGUAGUUGCCUCUGUCCAAGAGAAUUGUCCUCCUUUCAUAUAAUCCAUAAUUGGUGCCAUAAUAGUACUAAAAUAAGGAAUGAAUCGCCUGUAAAAAGAGGCCAAUCCAUGGAAACUUCUGGUGGCUGAUAAAGUAGUUGGUUGAGGCCAAUCUCGAAUAGCAUCCACUUUUGAUUGGUCAACGAUAUACCAUCCUUCGACACCAUAUAUCCUAAAAAUAAUACUUUUUCUGUCAAGAAAAUACACUUGUUUACUACUGUGUAUAAACUCACUGCUCUUAAAGCUGAAAGCACUUCUCUCAAAUGUUGUAGAUGUAACUCGUGAUUGGUGCUAUAUAUAAGUAUAUCAUCGACGUGAAAAACCAUAAACUUUCCAAUAAAAGGGUGAAGAACUUGAUUUAUAACUCGCAUAAAAGUACUCGGAGCAUUGGAUAAGCCAAACAGUAUUACCAACCACUCAUAUAACCCUUUGCGAGUUUUAAAGGCUGUUUUCCAUUCAUCUCCAGACCGUAUUCAAAUUUGAUGAUAGCCACUUUUCAAAUUAAGUUUGGUAAAAUUUACUACUCCACUGAGUUGAUCUAACAAAUCAUCUAAUCGAGGGAUUGGAAAAUGAUAUCGAACAGUAAUUUUAUUGAUAGCUCGACUGUCUACGUACAUCCUCCAAGAACCAUAUUUCUUUGUAGUCAAUAAAGUAGGGACUGCACAAGGACUAAAACUUUCACGGAUAAAUCUCUUUCCUACUAUCAAAAAUUGACUCUUUAGCAAACUCUUCAGUUUCUUCCUCCUGGUAGUCUUCACUUUCCUUUGUGCCUACGAAUAAGCCUUUACCCUAUUUUCCUCCUUUUUUACAUUCCGUCAUUCGGUGCCCAUUUUCUCCACAAUUAAAACAGCAUAAUAUUGAACCCGAGGAUUGGGUUUUGCUGCUUUGACCGAUUUCACUAGGUUUACUAGAUUUAUUUGGAGGAUUUAGAGGAGUGAAAUUACAGAAUUAGGAAGUCGGGAUUGAAUUAUCAUGACCAACACUUCGAGCACCCCGAAAGCUUGAGUCAUUAGUACGUCGACUAAAUUGCUUCUCCAACUGCAAGGCUUGUUGGUUUGCCUUUGAAAUAGAGUAUGUAAAUUUAAUUAGUCUUGAAACUAAGAUCGUAGGCCUCUAAUGAAAUCGAAAACCUACUGUUCUUCUGUCUCUGUCAAUUCAUUACGUUGUGUAAUUUUGUGGUGUAAUCAUCCAUUGAUCGAUUACCUUGCCUUAAAUUCUAUAGCUGUUGGUAUAACAGUUUGGCGUAUUUAUGAGGCAAGAAUGCUCCACGCAAGUGGUUUUCAAAAUUUCCCAAAAAUCAAUCUUCUUUUUGCCUUGCCUAAUCCUUGUGAGCUUAGUUUGUUGCCACUAAGCUACUGCUCUUCCAUGAAAUCGAGUUGCAGCAAGUGAAACUAGUUUAUUUUCAGGAAUUUCUUUGUUUUCAAAAACUUCCUCAAUGACAUUAAUCUAAUCCAAUAAUUCUUCAAGUCGACCACUUUCUUGGAAUUUGGGAAUGUCAAUUCUCAAACCAAAUUCCCAUAUUUUGUCAUUAGUAGACUAAGUUCUAGGCCGACACCCAGAGAACGAGUUAGCAAAACUUUCACUUGAUUUGUCUUCGCGUUCUGGAGUGCGAUGGCAUUCGUUAAGUAACUCUGCCAUUCAUGCCAUUUGUGCAGCUAACAUAUCAAUUUUGGCUGUCAUGCUAGCCAGGGCUUCAUCUUUAGAAACAUUAUCUUGAUUGUAAGUUGCAGCAUGAGCAUCACGAGCUUUUCUUGGAGGCAUUUUCCAAAUUCGGGUUUGAAAAGGUAGUUGGGCUAAACUGAAAUUAAAUAAAAUUUUAGGCCAAAACUAUAAUUAAGUAAAAGUUUUAUAUUUUUGAUGACGGUGGUCGGAAACCGAGCAAGGAUGGGUGGAUCUGAAAGUUUUUGGGUUGGUGAGUAUGAUGGUGUUGGUGGUUUGUUAAAAAAAGUGGUGUUUUGGCAGGAAAUUUUAGAUAAAGCUAAUGGUUUGAGCUUCGAUUGAUGGUAAUGAAUAGUGGGAAAGGUUCAGUUGAUGGAGAUGAAUGGAUUGAUGGUAGUGCUUUUGGCCAAAUCGUGCCGGAAAGUGGUGAACAGAGGUGGCAGCGAUCGCAACUUUUUUGGCUUUUUUCCGGCGAUCUAUGGCUAAAUGAUGGUGGAAGAUGCUUAGGGUUUGAUGGCGGCGAUUUAUGAUCCAAUUGGUGGUGGUUGCGUCUGGAUCGGUGACGGAAAACUAAAGCCGGUAGCCUUGGACGGUGGCCGAGGGUUGAAGCUUUUGCUUCUAUUUCGUUUUUUUUUUAAAGCUAAACGAAAAAAUCAAAAAGGGAAAAAAGUAAAGGUUUAGUGGUAGAUGGGGUUAGAUUGGUGAUACCAGGUUUUAGCUCUGAUACCAAGUUGAUGCAGCGGAAGUUUAAUGUACAAGACAUUCCGUUGAUUCUAGAGAAUGCCAGAAUAAAAGAACAACUAAACUCACGUUAAUUCAAAAGAAUGCUGUGAAUUUAGGGGUUAAGACUCGUUGAUUCCGCAGAAUACCGAGAAUUAACUGAACUAAAAAAAUCACAUAGAGAUUUGAAAAUUGAAAAUAUUAUUGAAAUCGAACAUGCCUUUAAAGGCUACAAGAGGAAGUUAUUUAUAGUAGCAGAAAUUAUCCUAAAUCACUAGGGGAAAACAAAAUUUUAAAUUGAAAAGGAAACAAAAUUCUAAAUUGAAUUGGAAAGGAAAUUAAAGUCCUUAAUUAAUUAGGAAACAUAUCCUAGUAUAAAUUCCUAUUCUGCAUAAGUUAUUGACUUAUAAUUCUAUGGGCUUCAAUCCCAUUCCUCUGAAUGAAUUUUCUAUUAGCUUUCUCUUUGUUAUCGAUUUGGCAAUAUUAUCAUUUUACUCCACAUAUUCGAUAGAAAGACCUUCAAUAGAGAGUAGUUGUCUAAUGGUAUUAUUUGUUCAACGUAUAUGUGUAGACUUAUCAUUAUAUUUAUACAUAUUACUUUGUGCCCUUCCAAUUGCAGAUUGACUAUCGUAAUGAAUGCAAAUUGCUGGCACUAGAUUUGACGAACUUGGAAUACCCUCUAAGAAAUUUCAUAGCCAUUCUGUUCCUUCACUACAUUUGUCUAGUGCAAUGAAUUCAAAUUCCAUUGUAGAUCUGGCUAUUACAAUUUGUUUAGAGGAUUUCCAUAAAGUAGCUGCACCUGUUAGUGUAAACACAUAUCCACUAGUAAAUCUUUGUAUCUUUCACAUCAGAUAUCUAGUUCGCAUCACUAUUUCCUUCUAGCACAACCCAAAACUUUAUCCACAUAAUAUGAUUAACUAAGAAUAAGUUCAUUAAAAGCUCUUGAAGUUUUUAUUCCCAAAAUGAUUGUUAGACCAUGUCUUUCAUGUCAAACUUAGACUUCAAUAUAUUCUUGAUAGACUUGAAUGUAUUCUUGAUAGACUUGACCUUUUUACCAUCACUCUAAAAAAUGAGCAUGUCAUCAAGAUAAAGACAUAAAAUGACAGCAUUUUUUUGUCUAUUUGACAUUUACACAUUUGUUAAAUUCGUUCAUCUUAAAACAAGUUGCCAUCAUUGUUUGAGCAAAUUUUUCAUGCCAUUGUUUUGGUGCGUACUUUAAUUCAUGUAAAGAUUUUAAUAAUUUACACACUUUUUUUCUCUUGUCUUAGAGCUAUAAAGCUUGGAACUAUUCUAUGUAGAUUUUUUUAUUUAUCAAAAUCUCCAUUUAGAUAGGUUAUUUUUACAUCUUUUGAAGUACUUCAAGAUUAUGCAAAGCUGCAGUCACAAGUAUACUCCUAAUGGAGUUUGUUCUUGUUACUUAAGAAUAUGUAUCAAAAUAAUCAUGGUCUUUUCGUUGCUUAUAACCUUUAAUAUAAGUCUAUCCUCAUACUUUUUAAUUGAUUUAUCAACUUUUAUUUUCUCAUGAAAAUCCAUUUGGAUCCUAGAUACGAUUUUGUAAGAUGGAUUCAAUUUCACUAUUUAUGGCAUUUUUUUCACAAAGUACCUUCUGGUGAACUUAUAGCUUCCUUGAAGUUUCAAGGUUCACUUUCCAAAAAAAAUGUUACAAAUCUAGAACAAAAGAUUUUUCUACUCUAUCUCUUUUACUACAUCUAGGUUAAAAUUGAACCUCUUACUCAUCUUCUCGAAAUUCUUGUUCUUGAUCUUUGAUUAUCUUCAAUGACAGCCUCAUAUAUUCCUUUGAGCACUCUCAAAUCCAUUUUGGAUUUAUAAGGAAAUAAUGUUAACAUGAAUAUGUUAAUAAUAUUGAUUUUGAUGAUAACAAACUUUAAAUGAUUUUUUUUUUAUAAAAUGUUGGAGCUAUUUCUUAAAUAAACGAAAGCCUUAUAAUCAUUCCAAUUAUAUUCAUAAAUGAUAGACUUUCAAAUUAGAAAAUAUUCUCUGCAAAAUCUGGUUUAAAAUGUGAUUCUAGAAAUAAACAGUGAACCGUUUUCUUUUAAACGGUUAACCGAUUAAAACUAGAGAGCAACAUAUUGCCUAAGCUCUAACUGAUUAAGAAAAACAGAAAACACAAAAAGUUGGGAAGGCUACUGGAAUUUAACGGUGAACCGUUUAUUUAAACGGUUAACCGAUAAAAUCCAGAAUUAAAGAUUUUACUCAUUUGGCACCGUUUAACAAAACGGGAUAAGGCUAAUUUGUUUUGCAGGUUACUGGAAACAAACGGCGAACCGUUUAUUACAAACGGUUAACCGAUAAUUUCCAGAGAGGUCAUUUCAUGCAAAUCCUUAACCGUUUAAUGCAAACGGAUAAUUGAUGUUCAUCUUGCAGGUCUCUGGAAUUUAACGACGAAAGGUUAACCCUAAAUAGUAAACUGUUUAUUUGAAAAUUAGCCCAACGGUAACAUUGACCAGAUGAAACGGUUAACCGUUAAUGUCUAACGGUGAACCAUUUUCGAGCAGACAGCCUAUAACGGCUAGUUUUUUAGCUCCAGUUAUAAAUAAGUUCAUUCAAAAUCAAACAAGAUUGAUCACAAUACAACCAUUGAACUUAUAUUCGAGAAUCCAAUCUUCAUAGAGCUUUAACACACAUUCUUGCUUCAUCUAUUCACACAUUGGGCAUUGAUUUAUAAUCUUAAAUAUUGUGUGAGAGAAAAAUAAUUUUUAAUCUUUUACUUUGAGUGAUUGUAAGUGUUGUGAUAUACUCGGGUUAAGAUAUUGGGGAUAAUCUCUUAUUGUAAAGAUUCAUUGACACCUUGGAAGUCAAGUGUAAGGGUGGGCAAAAAAAUCGUGGUCUUAAAAAUACCGAACCGAACCAACGGUUUUUUUUUUAAUUCUGAUCGGUUUUUAUUUAAAAAAAAUUGAAAUAUAUCAUUUGUAAAAAAAUCGAAAUGUCGGUUCGGUAUUCGGUUCACUUAGCUGAACCAAAAAACCAAAUUAAUAUUAGAUUUUAUUCAAAUCGACAUGUGUUAAAUUUUUUUUAUAGAUCCAAAUAUUGAGUUGGAAAAUGCUUAAAGUUGAUGUUGAUAUUGAUGAAGAUGGGAGAACGUUGUUGGCGUUUGUUUGCAAUUUUUUUUUUGGGUGAAGAUGGGAUUUAUUUUGUGUUGUAAGUUGUAAUUAUUGUUAUUUUUAUUUGUCUUUACAACAUUAUGAUUAUGAUUAUGAUUAUGUUUAUGUAGAUGGAGUAUUGGAGUUUGGUUAUGUAUUUUGAAAUUUUAAUAUUUCAUAUUUUGUGAGUACCUUAUUAGUAGUUAGUAAGAUAUUAGUGAUAAAAUGUGUUUUGAAUACUUUGUAUUUAUUGUUAAUAUUUGUAAUGAAAUUAGGAUGAACUAAUUGUUGAAAAAAAUUAUUCCAUUCAUGAGGCCCAAUGGGCUAAAAAUUUGAAAUUUCAAAAUAGGCCCAAUAGGCCCAGAACCGAAAAAACCGAACCGAAUCGAACCAAUCCGAAAAGAUCAGUUCUUAUUGAGUUCGGUUCUUAUUAUGUUCUUUUUAUAAAAUAACCGAUUUAAAUCGGUUCUACUUAAUUUCAAUCCGAACCGAACCGAACCGAACCGUGCCCACCCCUAGUCAAGUGUAAGCAUUUGAAGCCUUGGAGGUUUGCUUAGUGAAAUCCUCAAGCCCGGAAAGCUUGGAGGCGUGGACGUAGGCGAGGUUGGCCGAACCACGUAAAAAUCUUCGUGUUUGAAUCUCUCUUCCCUUAUCUUUUUAUAUUGUAAUUGAUUUAAUUGUUAUUCUAUUAAAUUCAUCUUAGAUUUGCUUGAUAAUUUAUUUUAGAAUCCAAUAAGUUUUAGAAUCCCAAUUCACCCCCCUCUUGGGUUGCACACUAGUAUUUCAAAUAAUUGUUUGAGAAAUGAUGCAUUUCUUGAUUCUAUUAUUGUACUUUUGUGAAAAUCUAGUAUAUUCUACUCAUACAUUUGAAUUCUAUAAGUACUAUUGUUAUGUGCAUAACCAAUGAAAAUGCAAUCCACAGUAUUUGAUCCUAUCUUCACGUUUUUAAGUGGAAGAAUGACUAAUUUAGCAAGAUAACUCACACUCAUAGGUAUAUAUAGGAAGGUAAUCUAUUUCCCCAUAAUUCACAAGGGUUUUUUUACUUUAUUUUAUGGUACCUUAUUUAAAAGGUAAUUAAUUAGCUGGUAAAAAAGCUUCUUCCUAUAUGUUUUGAGGUAACCUAAUACUUAUCAAUAUUGCAUUCAUCAUUUUUCUCAAGGUAUAUUUUUUCAUUUAGCAAUUCUAUUGGAAUGAGGUGAGGAGCUACUAUUUGGUGAAUGAUUCUAUAUUGUGUUAGGAAAUAUGUCUUAUUUUUCAAUAAAAAUUUCCUAGUAUAUUUUCUUCUUUAGUAAGAUUUUUAUUUAAAGAAUAAUAUUCCCUUUGAGACUUGAAUUAUUCUAGGCGGAACGCUGCUAAUAUAAGAAAAUGUAUACUUCUCUUAUAAGAAAUAAUCACUAUAUAUAUAAAGGUUGAAUUCACUUGUUUGUAUCAACAAUCAGUUCUCUUGAAGUAGAUUGUUUCUAGUGUGAGAGAAAUGAUAGGUUUAUUAAGAGACUGAGUGUUAUUAAGGUUUUGAAUGUGAGAAAAAAUAAUAGAGUGAUUGUAAUAAUUUUUUACAUAGUAAAUGUUUCUCUCGUUGCCCUUGUCGGCCAUUAUUUUUCUUUAGUAUAGGAGUUUUCUAGGUAAAUUCUUGUGUUGUGUGAUUGGUUUUAUCUUCCAUCUAUUUUCUGUCUAUUAUUUAUUUGAUAUUUUUGCUUGCAAGAUCUUGGGUGCGAUUAAAAUUGGCUUACUUAAACAAGUUGUAUCAGUGCUAAAGUUGCAACACAGAAGAAAUAUAUCAGCAAUGAGCUUUUCAAACCUGCAAAGGUAGAAAUAGAAAAGUUUGAUGGAAGAACCAAUUUAGGCUUAUAGAAAGUUCAAGUCAAGGAUAUAUUGAUUCAAUCUAGAUACAUAAGGAAAGCAAGGAUGAUGUAAAAUCUAUUCCCACUCGUGGAAAUUCUGGAGAUGUGUAGACAAUCAAGACACCUUAGAGAAGAUUGUUAGAAUAGAGCAAGUUCCGCAAAUAGCUUUAAGUUAGUAAAUAGAGAUAUUGAUAAUGUCAACCACUGAUAUGUCUUUUUUCUCCAUGAGAGAGAGGUUUAUCCUUUUUGGCAUGCUAUGCUAGAGGAUGUAUUACUGUUAGCAGGUCUAUAAGAUUUGUACAUAAAGCAUGGUUUAACAUUUAUGAAAGGUAUGUCACUAUAAGAAAUUGUUGUUUUAGCCACAUACCAUAAAGUGGCUAAAAGCUACAAAUUUGUAGCUAAAUAUCUUUUGCCACAAACAAAAUUUCAUGGUCAUUUUGUUACCUAAUGACCGUGGCAAAAAAUAUAUAUAGCCACGACAUAAAGAUUUCGUGGCCAAACAUUAACAGACACAAUUUAUGUUCCUCGCAAAAUACCAUUGCACACUCCCUCUUCCUUAGCAUUGUAGACGAAAUAUUUGACUCCAUCCGUGGAUAAAUACGGAUUCGUGGCUAAAAGUAACACCAUUAGCCACAAAUCAAAUUGUGGCUAAAUGACACAACCUUUAGCCACGAUAUGGGUUUAUCAUUAAUUACCUUCUCUGGUAACAUUAGUCAUGGUGGCUAAAUUGCAAAUUUGUGGCUAAAUUGCAAAUUUGUGGCUAAAUGCAAGACUAUCAGCCACGAAUACAUUGUGGGUGAAUUUGGUAACAUUUUACAAUGAAAUCUAUUUGUCACUAGUUAUAUUCUUUGGUAAUGAAAUCGAUUGUGGCUACAAAACUUACAGAUUUGAUUGUUGGUUUUUGCCACAAAAAUAUAAUGCCUUGGCUACGAAAUAUUUUGUAUACAUUUAUUAUAUAUAAUUAUUUGGCUAAUGACAUUAAAAAUUUUAAUAUGAUAUUAUUCUUUUUUAAUGGACAAUUUAUUGAGUUAUUAAAUUUAAAAGAAUUUAUCUCAAACUAAUAAAGAAUUUAAACGUACUAGCAUAAACUUUAGCACUAAAAAAGAACAAUCAUAUUAUAAGUAAAUAUAAAAGUACACAUAAAAUAAAAUACAUAUAAAUCAAAUAGACACAAAAGUUAAGGCCACACCAAUUAGUUUUUCAUCGAACCAUAAAAGAACCAUAUAAGGCUAGUUGACAAAUCUGCAUGGUAAUAACAAGUAAAAUAAGUCCAAAAUGCAUAUAAUUAAGAUGAGGAAAUCAUGAUUGAGGUAGUUGAACAUAUUGCAACCUUGAAGUAGUAGCAUGAUUGGAUAAAUAAGAGCUAAUGAGAGCCUUAAAUUGGUUAAGCCUACUAGACAAAUCACUAAGGGUAGUCUUAGUGUUUUGAAGUUCAAUCUUUGUUUCUUGAAGCUCAAUCUGAGUGGCUUGAAGUUCUGUCUUUGUUGACUCUAACUCAUUGCGCAAUGCUGAGGCAUUUUAAUUAGACGUUGCCUAUGAACAAGGUGGUAGCUUACACAAUCAAGUCCAGAAAGGUAACCGUAUUUCUUACCAUACACUAAUUGAGAUAAUUGUUCAUUGCUUAGUGGCUCAGACGCUCUUGUGGUUGGACUAUCUUCUCCAAGAAAUAAUAAUAAUAAUAAAGGAAACAUUAUUAAUUUGAAAUAAAUUAAUUAGUGUAGAAAUAAAUUUAAAAUUUCAACAAAUUCUUACUUCUUGACUGAGCCUCAACAUUCACCCAUUCUUUAUUGGCGUUGUAAUGAGUUUCAUGAAAUAAAUCAAGGUUUGUAUCUCGCCACUCUUAUUUUACUAUUCAAAACAAAUGCAUAAAAAUAUAAUAUAUUAUAACACACACACACACUAGCUAUGUUAAAAGAAUUACAAUUAAAAUUAUCACCUUAGAGUUCUCCUCAGAUGAGUAAUAAAUGACUUAGAUCCCCACGAUGAUUAUACAAUAAUUUUUUCUUAUUUUCAGCAUUUAUCUUACAACCAGCCUAAAAUGCAUACACCGGGCGUAAAGUAUUGGCCACGGGUUGNNNNNNNNNNNNNNNNNNNNNNNNNNNNNNNNNNNNNNNNNNNNNNNNNNNNNNNNNNNNNNNNNNNNNNNNNNNNNNNNNNNNNNNNNNNNNNNNNNNNAGUACUUGACCACCAAUAUCACCAUAAAUCUAAUUCUCAGAAUGGUCAAAACAACGAAGAUAGGAAACAAUCUAAUUCUAGAGUUGCAAAAUGACAAACAUCACCAUCAUAGCUAAAAAUUGAAGUGCAUGUUGUAUUUUUAUCUGAUAACAAGUAUUAAGACAUUGCAGUGAAAGAAAAAUAAAUAUAAGAAUAACUUAAAAGUAUGGAAUUCUUUUUAACUACUUACAAAAAGAUUCCAAAAUCAAUUAAUUGGCCCUAGGCAUUAGCAUCUCAGAAGAAGGAAAAAAAAGAAAAAUAAAAAUUAGUUUUUUCAAUAAAAUAAAUUUGGAAGGCAUGUCCAUUAUAUUUUUAAUGUAACACUCCAUAAGAAACAAAACAUAUGCACUUCAUGUUAUAGCAUAAUUAUUUUCAAUUCUUCUCCAAUAAACUUUGAAAAUCAAUAAAUUGGCCUCUGGCUUCACCAUCUCAAAAUUGAGAAAAGAAAUUGAGUUUCUUCAAGUAAAUAAACAAAUUAAUUUUGACAGCAUGUCCCCUAAAUUUCACAUAUAAACACUCAAUAAGGCACAAACAUAUGCAUUUCAUACUCAUAACACAAUUACAUUCAAUUGCACAAAUAAUAUACUUUCACAAUUAAAUAAUCAACCAAUUGGCCUCAGGACUCAUGACCAUCUCCAAAAAAAAAAAAAAAGAAAAAAGAAAAAAAAAGUUUCUACAAGUAAUACAUUCACUUUCAAGCUUUUAAAACACAUAUAUAUACAUUCGUAUAUAAAUUUAUACCUGAUACUCUUUAUCAUGCCAAAUAUCAUAUAAGUAAUCCCAAUCAGCUUGAGAGACCUUGCUUUGGGGAUUUCUACGUGCCUCCUGGUUUGAUGUGAACUCAUUAUAUUUCAACUUUAGCUUAUAGCGAUAACCACGAUAAUGAUCAGCCAUGAUAUCAUUCACAUAAAGAACCACAUGCUCUAGCUCCAAGUCUAAGUUAAUUUUAUUCUGAAUUAGAUAAAUUUAAAAAAGGGCAAUUAUUCGCUGACCACUUAUUUUUUUUGCAUUUUUUAAAAAAUACACAAUUCUUAAUUUUUUUUUAUGAACUCCACUCAAAGUUAUAUUAUUUUGCACUUAUCCACUUCCGUCUUCAAACUGUUAAGAGAACUAACGGAAUAUUGUAUAAAUGACUUUUUUACCCCCAAAUGUAAAAGAGCAAUUAUCCAUCGAUCACUUUUUUUUUUCGCAUUUUUUGAAAAAUACACAAUUCUUAAUUUUAUUUUUGCUGAACUCCACUUAAAGUUAUAUUGUUUUGCACCUAUCCACUUCUGUCUUCAAAUAUGUCAUUGUGAAAUGAUAAUUUUACCCUUAUAAUGUCAGCAAAGUUCUAAUAGUGUUAUAACGAGAGUGGACCAGUGAAAAAAAUGUUAACUUUUGGUGGAGCGCUGCCAAAAAAAAGAUUUGUAUAUUUUUGAAAAAGUUAGAAAAAUAGCUGGUCGGUAGAUAAUUACCUCUAAAAAAAUCAAACUUAUAAAAAAUUAUGAACACAAAGCACUAGUCAGAGAUUUAUUGAAAAUAAAAAGUGAAUAUACCAAAAGUAGUGUGAAUAACCCCAUCCUAUCGAUCCAAGGUGUUUGUUUCCAUGACUUAACAUUCAAUGGAGCAUGGUUACGAAUGAUAGUACCACACUCGCUGUCUAGUUUAGAUGAAAGAGGUUUGGUUGCUUUUUUAUGCUCAGUAGAGAUUGUUAAAACCACCCGACUUGAUAACCGGGCAAUGUAAUCUGGACCUUUACGUCGUGUAGGACCACAUCCUUUUUUUGUUGGUAGAUGUAAGCCUAUAUACAUUUGAAAUAUAAAAAGUUAGAACUAUAAACAAAAAUAAAACUCGAUAAGUAUGAUUAAUUAUGUACUACUACUACUAUGAUUUUCGAAUAUGCCGGUUGCUUUCAAAUCAACAUUAAGACUUUCAUCUAAAAAAAAAUUGGUUGUGGUUGUGCUCGUGAUCGUUUCUGUCCCUUUAGAGCCAUUUGAAAUAUAUAAUAUUAUGAUUAGUUCAUAUUACACUUAUUUCACAUUUAAAAAAAUAGAUGAUAAGAAUAUGUCAAUUUACAAUUAAGCAUAAAAAUAAAUAUGUACCAUAAACUAACAUAUUUCAUAUUCAACAUCUGUAUCAUCUUCAAAUUCAAUUGAUUUUUCAACAUUAUCCAUACUACUUGCAUCAUCCUCAUUUAUGGUAUCACAAAUGAAAUCAUCUUUUUAUAUUUGUAGUACUUCCACAUUAACCUCGAUUAGAAUAGCAUCAUCUUUAUUGAAAUUAUGAUCCAAUUAGCUUCUUCAACUAUAAAAACCCCAUGGUCAAUUGAACCACUUUGUUGAUACUCUUUUUGUUCUUGUACAUCUUUAUCUUUUCAUCAUUUUCUUGAACAUCCCACACACUUAUAAGUUGUACCUUCUCCACUACCUUCCACCCUUCACCACGUUUAAGAUUAGCAAUAUACAUUACUUGUCGUGCUUGAGAUGCAAGCACAAAAGGAUCUUUAUUGUACCAUGUUUGAGUCACAUUAAUAGAGGUAAGAUGGUAAUCCCGUAUCACUCUUUUCCUCUUAGGGCCAGUAUCAAACCAUUUACAUAUAAAUAAAACAACUCAAAAAUUAGAAAUAUAUUGUAAUUUAAUGACAUCUGUCAACACUCCGUAGAAAUCAAUUUGGUCAUUAUCAUGUUCACCAGGUAUAACCUUUCCACUCUUUUGAGUUGAAGGUCUAGCAUCUCGCUCUUCUACACGAUAUCGGACUCCAUUAACAUUACAUCCCGAGUACCAAAAAACCUUAAGGUUAGGUCCAUAAGCUAAUGAAUACAGUUGGCCAUUUACUUCAAUAGAUGCUUGACUAUGAAAAUGCUUCAUCUAUACACAUUUCAAAUUAAACAAGAUUAAAUUUCUAUAAAAAUAGUUAUUGUAUUCAAUUUAAAAUUUUUAAAUUUUUUAUAUAUAAAUAAGCCACUUACAUGUUAAGCAAACCAUUUUGGAAAACGUUGUUGUAUUUCAAUUAAGUUUGUAACUCCUUUUGUGAGGUACAAUUUUCUUAAAUAUAGUAGAACUUAUUUUUAAGCUAACAAGCUCCUUGAGUUUAUAAUAUUUAAUUUUAAGGAAUGAUGACAUAAGUAAUGACAUAAGAAAUGAUGACGUAAGUGAUAACAUAAGCGAUGAUGUAAGGAGAAGUGUAGGGAAAGUUAAACAAUUCUAGAAUUUAGCAAGUUAUUUAUGAAGGUUAAUCUCAACCAUUGAUGAAGAGUUAUGGUGGCAAAAUCCAACCCAUCCAUUAGCCUUAAGAAAUUCUAUAAAUACCCCCUACCACCUCUCAUUUGAAAUGUAACCUAGAAAUUUCAUUCCCUUAUAUUCUAAGUCAUAAUAACAAGAGUAGAGGAAUCCUUAGCUUAUAAAGGUUUUGAGAAUCAAGAUCAAAAGGUAAGUAACACUUCAACUGCAAUGUAAGGAGAAAUUAUUUUUAUACUUAAGUUUAGUUUUAACAAUACAUUUAUAUUAUGAUGGCUAUUAUAGUGUGAUUAGUUAUAUUCUAAAUCUUUAUAUGGUCGGCCCUGCCGCUUAAUAUGUGAUGCUAUGGUCGGCUUUGCCGCCUAAUAUAUGAUGCUAUGGUCGGCUCUACCGCCUAAUAUGUGAUGUCAUGGUCGGCUCUGCCGCCUAAUAUUGUGAUGUCAUGGUCGGCUCUGCCGCCUAAUAUGUGAUACUUAUACUAAAUUAUGCUAUGAUGAUUGUGUGUUGAUUUUGUUAUGCAUUGAGGAAUUUCAAAUGUUAUAAGUUGCAUUGAAUGCAUGCAUAUCAUGGACUACAUUAUGAAGAAGACGUUUCAAAAAAUAAAUUUAUGGAAAAAUAGAUGGUUGUACUACCAGGUGGCAAAGUUCUAAAGAGGGCAAGCCUUCAAAGCUAAGUUGAAAGAAACCUUUUGGGGAUGGCGAUACGUAAUGCCCAAAAGAUCAACUAAUGAGGCCCAAGGGCAUAAUGUUUAAAGAGUAAAAGUGCCAGCCUUGUAGUGCAACAUACGUAGGGCCCAAACAAAGUUGUUUUGUAUUUUCUAAGUUUAUUUUAAGAGCUUAACAUGGUCAUCCAUAUGCAUUAGAGUGUUAUCGUACUAGGCAUUAGCUCACUAAGUCCUUACAUUGUAGGUAACGAUGAGUAGGGCAAGCUGACGCCAAGUCCUAACCAAGACGAUGUGCAUAUGGGCAUAACCGACCUUGAGAUUUUAUGAUGGGCUCAGCUUUGUGUUAAUAAAAAUAAGUAUCUUGGCUUUAUGUAAUAAUUAAGUUUUUUUAAAAUAAACUAAGAAAUCUCUAUAUGACUUUUACUUUUCUGUAAAAAGUUUUGUUGGAUUGUGCUAAACUUUUAGAAUUCGUAUUUAUAUUAAGAGUAACUGUGUUUUUAAGCAUUUUUAAGUAAAUAAUAUAAUGGAGUGUUACACCUUUUGCUUGUAAUAAAUUUAUAUGUUCACUGCGAAUAAUAAUUGAUAGUAAAUAAAACUUUCUACUAUAAUUACAUAAAUGAAACGAUGUUUUAAAUGCACUUACUCUAAAUACAGUUGCACUUCCUCACAAUUAUUUAAGAUAUAUCAAUGAGCCUUAUCAUCUUUUGUCGUGAUAAUUCUUUUAACAUAACUUUGCCAAAAGGUUGAGCAUUUUGAGAGAAAACUAAUAUGCCCUCUACUCGUUCUCCACCAUCAUCAUUACGCUCAAUCCGAUUGAAUUUUGUUUCAGUUUGCUAAAGAUACAUUGACCAAAAAGUCAAUGACUCAUUAACAAUUUAUGCUUCAGUAAUUUAACCUUCAGGAUGAGCUUUGUUGCUUACGUAAGAUUUAUAUUCUCCUAAGUUCUUAUCAAGGUAGAAAUUAUUGUAGUUGAAUAUCCAUCUAAAUGAGACAGGGCCACCAUAUUUUGCCUCUUGAGGUAAAUGCGGCCAAAUGCACCAUUAUAUUAAAAAAUACAAUAGGAAAUGCAUUUUCAAGCUUACAAUGAGUCAGGAUAAUUCCUUUUUUCAAGAACAUCGAAAUCAACUACAGUAACUGUUUUUGUGCUCAAUUGUCUAAAGAAAUUGCAUAACUCUACAAUUGUCGUGCAAACAUCUUUUGGUAGAUAAGGCUAUAUUCUUAUUGGAAGCCGGCGUUCCAAUAAGACAUGCAAUCAUGACUCUUUAAGCCUGAUAGGCUUCCUUAAUUCAUAUUCACACACUUGGCUAUAUUUGAUGCAUAUCCGUUUAGAAAUUUCACUAACUUUAAGAAUUGACAAAACUUAAUCCUUUCAUCUAAAUUUCACUAGUUUGUUGCCUUGAGUUGUAAGAUGCAACUCUUUUCUAAUGUUAAUAUCCUGUAAAUCUAAUCUUGCUUUAAUAGUGCCUUUUGUCUUACCAUUAAUAUCCAACAAUGUUCUAACAAGGCUUUCACGUAUAUUCUUCUCAAUAUGCAUCACAUCAAGAUUAUGAAAAAGUUUAAAAGUUGGCCAAUACUUUAACUUAAAGAAUAUGCUUUUCUUGGUCCAGUUUAACUUUUCUAAUUAUAGUUUUCUAUUCCCUAUAUUAGAUUGUUGAGCAUGUAUUUGUGGACCAUAUUAUCAUGUAGAAUAUCAUACAUCUCAUCAUUUUCUUCAAUAUUAUCAAUAUUUGCAUCCUCAACAAAAUUUAUUUCCAUUUCUAAUUCAUUUGAUCUAUUACCUAAACCAGAUUCAUAAUAAGAACUAGAUUGAUAAUACCGGGAAAAGAACUACCAUGUGAUCUACAAAGAGAUUUUGGCGGUAAAGUAUGGAAUCAAAAAUUUUGAAUUUCAUCUAAUCAGCCAUAAAUUCCUUAUCAACAUGGACAAUUCCUCUUUUCCUAGAAUCUUUGAUUUCAAAAACAAAUUGCUUCCUGACAAGCAAUUGCUAAACCUCAAAACUUGGUUCUCUAAAUAUGACUUUACUGUCCAGCACAUCAAAGGUAAACAGAACCUCAUCCCAGACUUCCUUACAUGCCCGUUUAUAAAUAAACCCUCACUCCUCUCUUCAACUUAUAUCAUCCCAGUUAUAGCCAUGAAUCGACAACUUCCUUUCAAAGCUCUCAAUUAAAGAUCUUUUCCCAUGAACAUUCCUUUUUCUUCAGCCUACCAAAUCCAAGACUUUGCUAAGAAAUUCCUUUACAUGUAUUUAUUCAAUGUCCACAAUAAGACUCCUGAUCGUUUUUCUACACUAUGUAUGGAAAAUCUGUUUCUCACAGGUCUCACCUUGUCUAUCUCAAAAGAUGAGUUAUGGUAUAUGUGGUGUCUCACAGCCUUGUAUGCUACAAAACUGGUCUUUCCUGUUAAACCAGUCCUCCGCCACAUCACCACUCCUAGAAUGGUAUUCACCCCUCACAUGGUGGCGUAAACAGCUCCAGAAUCUGUGUACUUUUCACAGAUUAAAUAGGAUGCCAGAACACGAAGCAAACAUGUUCACCAUAGCUUUCAUUGUUCACCGGCCAUAUUUUCAACACCCAAAAACCAAAGACUUCUGGACUCAAGACAUGGCUUAUGAAUGGAAAACUUAUCCCCAUCAUUAUCUUUUCAUCCAUGAUACAUCAGUCACAUCUGUUCUUCAAGCUUAUCUCAUGGAACUCAACAAUGUUCAACCACCUGCCACAAAUAUCCACCACACCUCUGUCGGACCCUCACACAGCUUGGAAAUAGUUCCAAAGACACAGACCUGUACUCCAGGUUCAAGUUCAAGUUCAAGUCCACAUGGAAUUCUUGUCAUGAAGUAACGUCCUGUCUUGUCUAAAGUUUUCUUUUGCUUUUCUAAGUUUGGCAUGGUGUGCUUUAGUGCUUUAUUGCUUUCAUAAUUAUGUUUCUACUUUUGUAAAAGAUAAGGGUCCCACCUUAUCUCUUUCCUCCUCGAGAUCUCUAUAUAAGGAUCUCUCUCUCCUUUUGUAAUUUAGGAGUUAAUCAGAAAUAAAAUACAGUUUUCUUAUAUCAUAUUUCUCUAAACUCUUUCUAUCUUCUAUGAGUCAAGAAAUUUAUUUGGAAUUUCUAAUGAUACCACCUCUGCGAGGGACGGUUGGCUCUGAUACCACUAGGGUAGUUGUACGUGGCGUUGUUACACCAGAUCUAUGACAGAACAAAGUCUAUCCUUAGGGCCAGUAGCCCGCACGUUCUGGUUUCCAGCGGAUAUACACUUAUCCAUCAAGUACCAAAUCCGAAAAUCAUAUUGAAAACAGUUUUUCACGAUACCACCCGAAAACACGGCACUCGUGGCCUUAAAGAGGGUGAACAUUGUGAGAAAACAAUUUUGUUUUACAAAAAUCAAUUUUGGAGGAUAAAAAUAGGACCUUUCUGAUGCACAGAAUCCUUUAGGCUUAAGGCAAGUGCAAAGCAUACUCAAUAUGGAAAUUAGAGGUGAACGUAUCCUUAUUAUUUCAAAAUUUUCGCCAUGAAAAACCUAUCUCUUAUAGCUAAAUGAAAUACCGGGUUUGUACAAAUGAUCUUCAACUACAUCUAAAGAUUUCAAAAAAUCAUUUUGACAAUUUUGACAUGGACAAUGAACCAUAUUAUUUUGAUCCACACAUUUUCUACAACUUUCAUAAUUGACUUAACUCCAUCAAUAUACUCAUUAGAAAGUCUUUCUGGAAGUUUCAUCCAACUUUUAUUCAUUCUUUAUCUCUUCACCAUAAUAUGUAAAUUGCUAUUAAAGUUUCCAACAAGUUAUAAAUGUUGUUGACACAAUUUUGAUACUAUAUAAAUUAAACUAUUAAAGAAAAAUCAUUUUUCAAAUAUUGUGUCAUAUUAAAUAUUUAUCUUCUAUUAAGAAAAGUGUUAAAAAAAAGAGAAAGUGUGUAUCACUUACAGAAUCUAAACUUGUGGUUUCAAUUGAUGCAAAGUGUAGUUUCAAUUGAAGCUUUAUCAUAGCUCCUAUACAAGUUGAAAAAAGUAAAUUAAUUGUAAAAACAAUAGUAAAAUACAAAGCUAUGUAAAUGGCAAUCAACAAAAUGAUGAAUAUCUUAUUGCAUCUUAAUAGUGUUCGUCAAAUCUUGAAUUUUAUAAAAAAUGAUAAUUAGUUAGCAACUAAAAAAAGAACUUUUUCCACUUAUUCAAUUGAUAAUGUUUCUAAAGAGGUGAAAUCUAUAGCAAGAAGACAAUUUAAAAUUGGUAAACAAACAAAAUCAUAAAAAUAAAUUCAGCACCUGAAGGAUUCUAUUUUUGAAGAUCAAAUGCUUGGCAUAUAGCAUAUACUUGUUUGACUAGUUUAUAUUUUUACAUGCAAGAAAUAGUAAUAAAAAGAAUGUUGCCUAACAUGUAUACAAUCAAAAUCUGAGUAAUAAGAUUAUCUGAAUCCUUAUUAGUUUUAUUUCUCCUACUAUUUUUUUUACUGUAUAGUUUCAAAAUUAACCAAAAUUGUAAUUUCACAUCUAUAUCAUCUUUAACUCAAAAUAGCAAUUUUGAGUUCCACUAAUAAAUUGUAAGAACAUGAAAAAAAUUUAAAAUUGUCAAGUGAAUUUUUCCUCAAGGAAAAUCAUGAUAUAAUAUUAGUUUUUAACAUAUAAGGAACUGCAAAAAGUGCUAGAAAUUUUAAGUAUAUGAACUUCUAGUAAACAUUAGUAACUUUUUCUUUUUUAAAACAUGGAGCAGAGCAUAAAUAUUUAUGCGUUAAAAAAAAAACAGAUUACACUUAAAACCGUUUUAAUUUUUUCAACAACACAUGAGACUUUCUUCCCUAUUUUGUCUCAAUGUUUUAACUUUUUAAAACAAGCAGCAAAAUAGUUUCAGCCAUCAAAUAAUUCAUCAUAACGAGAUAAAAACAAGAGAACAAGAAAAAAGAAUGAGAUCCGCUAGAUGUUAUUUUAGAAUCCUUUGUUGAUGUCCUCAAUUCUCUCUCUUGAUCUUUGUUUAUUCUUGUUUGUUUCUCUAUUAUUUUUCUCUAAUGAUGGCCUUCUCUUUUCUUUGCAUGUGUGCUCUUUUUAUAGUUUAGAAUUAGGGCAACCGAAAGCCUAGGGCGUGCAUCUUCCAGUUUAGGAAACUCUAGAUCGCUAUCUUCUCAAUAUCUCGCAUGAAAUCUUCUCUAUCGUUGCUCCAGAAUUGCUACAGCAAUAGUGCUACAACAUUAGCUUCAACAUCUGCAAUGUUCCAAACUUGUUUCAAUUCUUCUCUAACCAAGUUAUUUCCUUAUCUUUACAAGCCUAUUGCAGCCGCAUUUUUUCCUUGAAAUUUGAGCUUCCGGUCACCUACAAUUAUGCAUAUGAUCUAAGCACAAAAUUCAUUCUAAAUCAAACAAAACUUAUUAAAAGUAAACUAAAAUGGAUGUUUAUGCAAAACAUCACUAAAAUGCAAUAAAAACAUGUCAUUUACUCUCUAAGUAAUCUUGAUUUAUCUAAAAGUGCCAUGAUAACUCUCAUUUCAUAGAGUUAUCAAUAAUCCUUCAGUAAAUCUUGAUAAAACUCUUGAACUCUCUUAAUAUUUGAUGAGGAAAUAUCACCAUAAAUUAUAGGAAAAUAAUAUUCAACUAACUUCAUUUUAUAUCUUGGAUCCAUCAUUGCUACAAUUGCUAAUAAUUCAUUAACAUCCUUCCAAUAUUUAUCAAAUUUUAAUAUCACUUUAGAUGCCAUUGUUUUCAUCUCCAUACAAGUAGAACCAAACAACUCUUUCAAUGACAACCUAAUGUUGUGCAAAUUUUAUUGAACUCGCAAGCGCACGAAUCUAUUGUAGAAUAGACUAAUGGUGUCGAGUGUCGAUCCCACGAGGAGGUGGAUUUUAAUUGUGUAGAAUUAAUUUUUUAAAUGGGUGGUUGGAUUUGUGGUGAAAAUGAUUUGGAUUAUCCUAAAAUUGGAAUUGAAAUGGCGAGAAUAAAUUCUAAAAUUGUAAUUGAAAUGGCGAGAAUAAAUUGAAGAGAAAUCUAUUGAGAUGACGUACUUGGGUAUCUGGAUCCGUAUCAACAUGCACCAUGGGCUAAAUAUUCCUUAUUAAUACUAAUUAAAUCAUGAGGGGGGAAUCCACACCUCAUGAACCACACUCUAAUCAAUAUGGUGCUAAGGGCUUAUCGUGCCAAAUAAUAAUAACGUUAUAGUAGAGAGCCGGUGUAACCAAGGCGGUAUUUAGACAAGAUUAUUAUUAUUUGUCGACGAGAAUUCAAAAAAUCCACAAAAACUAGAGGGAAAGAGAAAAUAAAUUUACCAAAUUAAGCCCAUGACACAUGUUGAGACUUUACCUUCAACCCAAGCUUGAAAGAAAAUUAGCUACUCAUAAUUGAACUAGGGACAAAAUGGAAAUUUAUUAAAAUACGUAGAAAAUAUAAGAUGGAGAAGGAAUUACAGAGAAUGGAUCCCAAAAAUGGAUUCAAAGCUAUCAAAUUAGGGGGGAGAGGCCCCAUUUUUAUAGAUACAUGGAGUAAAUUAUGGCCAUCGGAUUAAAAACAGUUUGGACGCUCAUGAUUGCGCCACAUCAUUAGUCAACAGUACGCGGUUUGACCACGCGGAUGAACAGUAACACGGUUUGACCUAGGUUGAACAGUGACGCAGUUUGGUUAAAAAUAAUCUUGUGUGAUGCAUGUACCGUACACGAGAUUUUUCGUCCACUGAUAUGCUGCCACGUCACCAUCAACAGUACAUAAGAAUUUUAGCCCAACAGGAUCAUGACACCUCAUCGGUCAAUUCCACGUCAUCGAUCCGUCUAUGUGAACAUUGUCAUGAACAGUAACGUAGACAGUACCGUACACGUGAAUAGUACCGUACAUGUGAAUAGUGCCAUUUUUCCUUUAAUGCUCUCCCUAAGGUUUUCGAUCGUCCCGAGUUCAAAAGUGAUGUCUGUUUUGCCGUCUAAUCUCUCGUUUAUUGUGAAAUGAUCAUGAUGCCCCUAAAAUACAUAAAAUACUUAAUUAAAAUCAAACACACAUAAUUAAAUUGCAAGAAGCUUAAAUACAUAAAAGUAAGGGUUGUUAGUAAAACUUGAAAUGUAAAAUUAUGAUUUUCUGCUUUAUAAAUAUACAUUUUCUAACACUCAACACACCCCCCAACUAGCUUAUUGCUAGUCUCUAGCAAAUAAAGUGAAAACGAAAUUCAAAUCCAAAAUGAUUUUUUUUUUUUAGGAACACUCGUGUUUAUUCAAUCAGAUUAAUGAUAGCAAUCAAAUAAAAGUAUAAGCAUUAUCUCCAGUCUAAAGAAACAUCACACCCAUAUCAACCAUCCACAUGAAUCAGCCCAGUAGACUUUGUUAUAGCUACUUUCAAGAAUGACAUGUCAAACCCCAAAAUCUCACUGGAAGUAGUGACACUCUCAUAAAGAAAUUAAAACCAAUAAAAAUAGUCACUCCAAUGAAUGGUAAUUGGGAGAGAAAAUAAUAAAGAAGUGAUAUCACAUGCUCUCACCAAGAUGAAAUAAAUAUGCCCUCAGCUUAGAAAUAAUACGAUCUCAAGUCAAACAAAAAUGCUAGUCAAUCUAAUUUAUUUAUCUUUUUUUUAUAAUUAUGCAUCACUACAUCUUUUUAGCCCAUAUAACUAGCUUCUACUUCAGACUAUAGUUCCCUAAAAUCAAGAAGGACUUUUAUUAGGACGUAACGUAGGCUAGGGACAUGGUUAACAACGAAGGGAAAUAAGGAAAACAAAAUGUAUGUUUGAAAAAAAUGCAGAGGGAUUUUUUUUUUUGGAAGUUGCAAGGUGGAUUUCAUCUAUUAUUGUUAUUUUUUUUCUUCUUUUUUUUAAACAAAUUUUUUUUUUGCUUUUGCUUGGCACAACGUCACUGAAUAAAAUAAUUAUUUACAUUUUUCUCAAACAUAAAUAAGUGAUGGAACUUAUAAGACAUCGGGUAAUACUCCAAAUCAGAGUGGGUUAAGAUGAUAAGUUUAACAAAUAAAAGGUUUUUUUUUUUAAAUGCUCAAAAGGGUUAACUAUGGAUACUUGAUAAAAGGGAUGGCUAAAAAGGCUCAAACGGAUCAAAGAUGGCCUUUCCAUCGUCUUUUAGGGCUCUAAAUAAUCUUCCAUAUCUACUAGUUAGAUGGGCCUCCAAAUGUAGCAACACACAUUUUUUUUCUUUUAUUUUAUUUUAUUUUAUAAUUUUUUAAGGGUUAACUCAAAAGAAAUCUAGAGAUCGUGUAUAAAAUAAUAAACUGCUAAGCUGUAUAAAGAGUGGGCAAAAUGAUUACUCUCCAAGAAAAAUAAUAGGCUAAAAAAUUCACGUGGUACUUAUUUAUGACAUGUUCAUUCCUUCAAGCAACUCAUAUUUAUCUCCGACAUCAACAUGUAAAGUAGCAAACAUGGCGUAACAUCACUUAAGACCAAAGAUAAUACAAAUACUAAAAUUUAAAAUUAAUCAUGUCAUCCAAUGUUAAAACAAAUCACACAAAAAUUUUUAUUUUUUUUUAAAACAACAUUCUACCCCCCAACCUAUUCUAAAUAUGAAAGGAAAAUCCGCAUGCAGAAAUGUGAAAAUGAUGCAGAAAAACUAAUUAGAAAAGUUACACUUAAAAUUAUAGAAAAAGAAAUUUUUAUUUUAUUUUAUUAUUUUUAUUAUUAUUACUAAGAAGAUGCGUUUCUAGAGGCACUACACUACAUAUUCAGCCAUCUUCGACUCAAAAAUAUAUAUUUAUAGAGGAGAAAUUAAAAAGAAGAAGAAAAAUGAACAUCAAAACUUAAUAAAGAAAAAGAUUUUUUUUUAUUUUUUUUCAAACAAUGAAGAUGCGUUUCUAGAGUCACUACACUCCAUAUUCAGCCAUCUUCAACACAAAAAGUUAGCAACAAUUAGUUUUUACAAUAAAAAAUCAGUAAAAACUUAACCAAGAUUCCACAAUUGUCGACUAUUCCCUCCCCCCAACCAGAACGAAACAUUGUCCUCACUGUUUAAAAGGAAAGAAGUAGAGUUUAGAAGACAUCACCUGGGUGGUACAACACAGAAGAAAAUAUUUACAAGUGGAGAGUUAAAUCUAAUUUGUACUUCUUACUGCGGCUACUGUUGCCAUCAUUAUUUGGACGCUCCAACACAAAGGUCCAGGGGUCUGGCUCCAGUUUAUAAGCUUGUAACAGAACAAGUAGCUCAUUAGCAGUGUUAGCACAAAUAAAAAGCUUUUUCGCAUUGGAAGGAAUGAAAUAGUUUUUUAUUGCAUGGUUAAGAAAUGCGAUAAAGCCAUCAUAAAAAUUAUUGACAUUUAACAAACCGAUGUGUUUCUGGUGAAUGUGCAGAUAGGCCCAAACUGCUAGUGUGAUAAGUGCCUCUAGUGUUGCAAGAUCUCCUGGAAGGAAAAUAAAAGCAUCAGCAUGAUUAAGCAUUUCAGUUAUUCUUUCUUGCAUACCUGAGACGACUAACUCUUCUCCAGUCGAUGAGUCAGACAAACUGCCCAAAAGUUUUAGGACUCUUGGGAUGGUGUCUAACACUUGACUUCCUCUGACAAAAGUUGCUUCUGAGACCAUUUUUGAUAACCCUCGAUUACCUCCUCCAUACACCAAGUGUAAUUUUCUCGCUGCUAUGCUUCGACCAAGAUCUAUGGCUGCCUCAACGAACUCUUUAUAUUUGCCAUAGUUAAAUCCAGAAAGCACACAAAUGUUCUUGAAUUGUCUAUUGGGAGUAGCUACCAUUAUAAUACUUCUCAAAAAUAAUUUGUGAGUGCUUGACAAAAAAGAAAUCACAUUUAAGAAUCUUGGUGAUAGUGGAUCACAGUUGUGUAUGAGGUAACGUCUCAGUGUCAAAUACUCGUAAAGCACAUGGCUCGAGAGUAAAAAAGGAAACAGUAAAAAGGAAAAAGCAAACAUUAAUAAAAUUAUUAAAGACAAUAAUACAAAUAAUAAAACAACAGUGAAAUAAAAUAACAGUAAAGUAAAAGGAUAUUUACAGGUAGUUGCAACUGUGGCUCACAUUUUCCUCUGGUUUUACGUCUAGAAACGGCUUGAACGCCCUCUAUAAGUCGAGGAUAGGCUUCCCAUCCAGUUUUCUUAUAAAUUGGCAAACAGGGUCGUUUAUAGUCAGAUUCCCGAGACUAUAUCGUGCAUGCUCUUUCUGGAAUAAUGGCCAUAACUGGAGAAUCGCUCCUUGCACAUAUCCACUAGGAUGCGUUUCAAGAGACAAAAGGAUAUCAUCCAAUGACUCCUUAUUCAAGCCAUCCCUAAUGAAUUGAAUCUUAUCUUCCCUGUUAUCAGACACCAUUCCUAAAGAACAUGGGUUUUUAUUGCAACUCAUUCUGGCACACUUAUGAUAAGUAACAGAAAUUCUUCGAGCUCGUCGUUUUCUUGCAUAAUUUCCUUUACCACAACCAGGCAUGUAUGCAAUAAAUGUUGGAGGUAACUCACCUGCCGAUCGUACUUUAGCCUCGAUUAACCAACGGAUGUCAGCAAGUAUGUUAUUCCUCAUGAGUAAUCGCAUACGUUCGGACCGAGCUUUAUAGAUCGUAAGGAGGGCAUUCUGAGGAAGUGAAGGGAAUCGCUUGUGAAGCUUCGUUAGAAUGUCGUUUCUGUCCAUACUUUCGCCUCAGAAUAUUAGUUAUUAUGGGAAACUGAAGUAACCGACUUGAUUCUCACGGAGUACCGUUAUCCGCCACUUCACCGGGGUAACAAACUAAAGCACACAAAUAGAAAAAUAAAUUAAAACACACAAAGAAAAUUAAAAUCGCCCUCUUAUUGAAUUUACCUCAAGCUCCAACUGGAUGUCGUAAACACUUCUCUCAAUGUCUCUGAGUUGGCUUUCUAAACCCUCAACAUAGGCUAUUGACUCUAGUGGCUGUAGAGCCCAAAUGCGAUGUGUUUUACAAAAUUGAAUCUGCCUUUUGAGAUGAGUUUUGACACGUUGAAGUGGUUUAAGAAUGUUCAGGAGGAACGGUCUAAUGUACUCAUGAUUAAAAAUGAUAAGAGAAAACUUAAUAGUUAAACAAACACACUUAUGCAAAAAUAAUUUCAAUUAGCAAAGAAUAAUAAAAAGAAAGAAAGAAAAAUCAAAUCAACGAAAAGAAAAAAAAUCAAUUCAAAUCUGGUGGGUCACUCAAAUUUAUUUCGGUGUCUUCUCCAUGUGAUUGGUACUCUAGAUAUGGCUUUAAUCUUUGACCAUUAACUUUAAACGUGACACCGUUCUUUGGGUCCUUAAUUUCAAUUGCUCCAUAUGGAAAAAUAGUAUGUACAAUAAAUGGGCUAGACCAACGAGAGCGUAACUUACCUGGGAAUAGGUGCAAGCGAGAAUUGAAUAAAAGCACUUUCUGCUUUCUGACCUGGAGUGAAAGAUUUUCUCAUAAUUUGCUUGUCAUGGAAGACUUUCAUCCGUUGCUUGUAAAUCUUGGCAUUUUCGUAUGCGUCAUUGCUAAUUUCUUCAAGUUCUCCCAGUUGUAAUCUUCUUUCUGAGCUGGCUUGUUGCAUGUCAAAGUUGAAUUUCUUGAUGGCCCAAUACGCACGAUGCUCGAGUUCCACAGGUAGGUGGCAAGCUUUUCAUACACUAGUCUGUAGGGUGACAUCCCAAUCGGGGUCUUGAAAGUCGUUCUAUAUGCCCAUAAGGCAUCAUCAAGUCUUAAUGACCAAUCUUUUCUGUCUGGCCUCACCGUCUUUUCUAAUAUGUGCUUUAUUUCUUGAUUGGAGAUCUCAACUUGGCCACUAGUUUGCGGAUGAUAUGGGGUCGCCACUUUGUGUGUGAUUGAAUACUUUGUUAAAAGAGCUUUGAAUGCUUUGUUAUAAAAGUGGGCACCACCAUCACUGAUUAUUGCUCGUGGGAAUCCAAAGCGUGAAACAAUGUUGCUUUUCAAAAAUCCUAUAACCACCUUGUGAUCAUUGGUUCUGCAUGGAAUUGCUUCUACCCAUUUCAAUACAUAGUCAACAACAACCAAUAUGUAUUGAUGGCCAAAAGAAUGGGGAAAGGGUCCCAUAAAGUCGAUACCCCAUACGUCAAAAAUCUCAACCACUAAAAUUGGAUUUAGUGGCAACAUAUUCCUUCGUGUAAUGCAGGACAGACAGUGUAAGUAUCUCGAAAUAUAGUUGGCCAAUAGAAACCAGAUUGUAAAACUUUAGUUGUUGUUUUCUUAGCACUGAAAUGACCUCCACAAGCUUAUUCAUGGCAGAAUGAAAGAAUAUUUUGAAUUUCAUUUUCUGGGACACAUCGUUUAACAAUUUGAUCUGCACAAUACUUGAACAAAUAAGGGUCAUCCCAAAAGAAAUUCUUUAUUUCUGCAAAGAAUUUAGCCUUGUCUUGCUUGGUCCAAUGUUCUGGAAGUUGACCUGUAACAAGAUAAUUCACGAUGUCAGCAUACUAGGGUAAUACUUUCACACUCAUUAAUUGUUCGUCUGGAAAUGACUCAUUCAAUAUUAAUGGCUCGAUAAUUGUAUCAAAAUGGAGGCGAGAGAGAUGAUCAGCCACAACAUUCUAUGUGCCUUUCUUAUAUUUAAAUUUCAAGUCGAACUCCUGCAAAAGUAACACCCAAUAAAUUAGUCUAGCUUUUGCAUAUUUCUUUGUGAGAAGAUAUUUAAGAGCAGCAUGAUCCGUGAAUACAAUUAUUUUACAACCAAUGAGAUAAGAUCAAAAUUUUUCCAAUGCAAACACUAUUGCUAGCAUUUCUUUUUCAGUAGUUGAAUAGUUCAACUGUGCAUCAUUCAAUGUCAUACUAGCAUAGUAAAUAACAUGAGGAAUUCGAUCAACUCUUUGUCUUAAUACUGCUCCUACUGCAUAAUCAGAUGCGUCACACAUGAGUUCAAAUGGUAAACUCCAAUUUGGGGGCUGAAUAAUGGGUGAUGAUGUCAACAAUUGCUUUAAUUUUCCAAAUGCCACAAGACAUGAAUCAUCAAAGACAAAAGGUACAUCCUUAGCAAGUAGAUUGCAUAAGGGUUUAGAAACUUUGCUAAAAUCUUUAAUGAAACGUCUAUAAAAACCAGCAUGCCCAAGGAAAGAUCUUACUUCUCUGACUGUUUUAGGUAGAGGAAGAUUAGAAAUGAGAUCCACCUUAGCUUUGGCAACCUCAAUACCUUUGCUCGAAAUGAUGUGACCGAGAACAAUAUCUUGUUUUACCAUAAAAUGACAUUUCUCCCAAUUUAAGACUAAGUUCUUCUCGAUACAUCUCUGCAUAACUAGUGUUAGAUGAUGUAAACAUUGAUCAAACGAGUCACCAAAGACAGAAAAGUCAUCCAUAAAGACUUCAAGGAAUCAUUCAACCAUAUCAGAAAAAAUGUUCAACAUGCAUCGUUGAAAUGUUGCAGGUGCAUUACAUAAUCCAAAUGACAUUCUCCUAUAUGCAAAUGUGCCAAAAGGGCAAGUGAAAGUAGUUUUCUCUUUAUCUUUUGGUGCUAUGGGAAUCUGAUUAUAUCCUGAGUAGCCAUCUAGAAAGCAAUAAAAUUUAUGGCCUGCUAAUCUAUCAAGCAUUUGAUCAAUAAAUGGUAAAGGAAAAUGGUCUUUACUUGUGACAAAAUUUAAUUUUCUAUAAUCAAUGCAUACAUGCCAUCCUGUAGUUACUCUAGUUGGUAUCAAUUCAUUAUCAGCAUUGGUAAUUACUGUGACUCCUGACUUUUUAGGGACAACUUGUACAGGACUGACCCAUGAACUAUCAGAAAUUGGGUAAAUGAUACCUGCAUCUAAUAGCUUAAGGACUUCAGUUCUAACAACUUCUUUCAUAUUAGGAUUUAACCGACGUUGCAUUUCCCUAGUAGAUUUAGUAUUUUCAUCAAGAUGAAUGUAAUGCAUGCAGUCUACUGGAUUUAUACCUUUUAUAUCUGCUAUGGUCCAUCCUAAUGCUCCUUUGUGCUCUUUUAAAACAUCCAACAACUUACCUUUUUGUUCGUCAUUUAGGGAUGAUGAGAUGAUUACCAGUAGAGUACUUUCUUCUCCCAAAAAUGCAUAUUCCAAUGUGUUGGGCAAUGGUUUGAGCUCGAGUUUUGGUGGUGAUUCUGAUGAUGGGAUGAGUUUCUUCUCUGAUGGUGCUACUUGUUCAACUCUUGACUUCCAUUUAUUAGUGUCCAUGGAUGGUGCUGAGUCAAGUAGGGCGUUGACCUCAUCGACUGAUAUGUCAAUAUCAAAAUCUAAACCAAAGUGAGUUAAACAUGUUUGUAAAGGAUCAUCACUAAGGUUUGAAAGAAAAGUAUUAUCAAUUAUUGUUUCUAUUAAAUCCACAUCAACAAUUCCAUCAUCUGCACUGUGAGGUUGUUUGGCAAUGUUGAAAAUGUUUAGCUCCAUAGUCAUGUUGCCGAAGGACAACUGUAUAUUUCCAGUCCUGCAUUGAAUGUGAGCAUCUGCAGUUGUCAAGAAAGGUCGGCCUAGAAUAAUGGGGAUGUGCUUCCUUGAAUCCUGUAUUGGUUGAGUGUCAAUUACAAUGAAAUCAACAGGAAAAUAAAACUUGUCUACCUGGAUAAGCACGUCCUCCACAAUGCCACGAGGUAUUUUCGUGGACCGAUCUGCAAGCUGUAACACCACUGAAGUUAGGUGUAAUUCUCCAAGUCCAAGUUUCAAAAAUACUGAGUAAGGCAACAGAUUUACAUUAGCUCCUAAAUCCAACAAAGCAUUCUCAAUUGUGUGGUUCCCUAUGCUACAUGAGAUAGUGGGGGAGCCUGGGUCUUUGCAUUUUAGAGGAAUUUUAUGUUGGAGUAUAGAAUUAACGUUUUCUGUUAAAAAUACCUUCUUUUGAACAUGAAUAUUUCUCUUUUUAGUACAAAGGUCUUUAAGAAACUUGGCAUAAGAUGGAAUUUGUUUAAUAGCAUCAAGCAAAGGGAUGUUAACACUUACCUGUUUGAAGAUUUCAAGAAUCUCACCUGUGGAUUUUCCCUUCUUGCCUUUAGCUAACCUCUGAGGAAAUGGAGCUUUGGGAACGUAUUCUCGUGGGUUUUUUUCUUCUUUCUCCUCCGGUGAUGAGUCGUCAACAUUUACAGGUACAAUUUGAUUUUCUUUUGUUACUGGCAUCUCCACUUUAUUGUCGACUUCUUUUCCUUUUCGCAAUGUCAUGACUGCUUUGACUUCUUCAUGCUGUUGUGGUGAACUGGUACUUGCUUCAUGUACUCCUUUAGGAUUAGGCACUGCUUAACUUGGAAACUUACCUUUCUCAACGGUCAUUGCCAAGGUCUGAACUGAAGAAGCCAGUUGUCCCACCAUCUUCUCAAGGCUUGAAACUGAUUGGGCUUGUGAAUUGAAGCCUGCUCUCAACUCAUUUCGUAGUCCAUCAAUGGUGCGAUUCUGUUGCUCAAUCGUAGAGUGAGUAACAUUCUUGAAAUUCUGGAAUGCAUCCUCCCAUGGUCUGGGUUGAGAGUAGUUCUGAUUCUGAUUGUAUGGUCUAAAUGGGGGCUGAGAGGCUUAAGGAAUUUGAGAAAUUUGUUGCAUUGGUGGAGCUGGAGCUGUUGGUCCAUUAUGUUGGAAUCCUUGAGACCAUGAAAAAUUGGGGUGGUCUCUCCAUCCAGGGUUAUAUAUGUUGGAGUAUGGGUUGUAAUUUGAUGGCUUUCUCAUUACACCUAUGGCAUUGGCUUGAUCUGAGUAUGAAUCAUGGUCAUGUGGUUCUGUUGAUUUAGCAGUCGAUAACGAUGCUAUUUGUCGAGCAAGACCUUCAACCAUCUCCUUGACUUCUUUAAUUUUUGAACUGGAUUCGCCAAUGUGAACCUCAUUUACUCCCUUAAUUCUUCUAGUAUUCCUGAGUGACCGACUCCGUUGUUGGGAAUUAUCCAUUUGUCGCUGGAAGAAUUCCCAAAUCUCUGAUGCACUUUUUGAUAUUAGCUCUCCUCCACUUGUUGCCAUCAGCCAUUCUUGCACAUUCGGCAAUAAUCCCUCCAAAACGUUUUGGCAUUGAUGCCAUUUCUCAUACCAAUGAUGUGGACACUUCAAGAGUAGCCCAUUGAAUCGCUCCCAUGUUUCGAAAAAUUGCUCGUCCUCUCUCUGGGUAAACUCUAAGAUUUCCCUGCGAAUAGCAUUGGUUUUAUGCACUAGGAAAUAUUUAUUCGAAAAUUUAGUUACCAUUUGUUCCCAUGAUGAAAUGCUAUUGGCAGGCAAUGUACUAAGCCAUGAACGAGCUCUAUCCUUUAAAGAAAAUGGGAAUAAUCUAAGUUUAACAUCAUCAUCUGAAAAAUUCUCAUAUUUAAAUGUUUGACAAAUAGCAUGAAAAUCAUUCAAAUGAUUAUAUGGGUCCUCAUUUUCUAGGCCAUAAAAUGUGGGGAGACAAUUUAGCACACUAGGUUUUAGUUCAAAACUCCUAGCAGCUACAUUUGGGUAUCUUAUGCAUGAUGUGCUCAAAUUAGCUAAAGGACUGAAGUAGUCCUUAAAUGGCCUCUCCUGUGGUUGCAAAUCCAUUUUAUUUUUAACUUGUUUGUGUGUGCGAAGUGUUUUCUCAAGUUCAAGGUCUGUAGGUUCAAGAUUAGGUAAUAAUGACCUACAACCAUGCAUGCAAAGAACAAAAAUAAAUGGGAACAAAACAAAUAAAAAUAAAGAAGAAUGAGAAAUUACGUUACUAACCUUAUCACGCUGUUAAAACCUUUCUAUAAAAAUACACAAAAACAAAUACGUGAAAUAAAUUAACUAAAAAUAAAUUAAUAAGAUAAACAAAAAAAAUAUUACAAAGAAAAAUAAAUUGAAAAUUAAAUUACAGAAUUUUAAAGAAGAGAAAAAGAAAAGAAAUACUAACCUUUAAAUAUAGAUUCACUUUUUUUUUCUUUCUUUUUUUUAAUAAGAAAAAAAUACUAGAAAACAAAUAAAAGAAAUUAUUCACAAAAAUUAAUUCUAUAAAUUAAAAUAACUUACCUCCUCGGCAACUGUGCCAAAAACAUGUUGGGCAAAUUUUAUUGAACUCGCAAGCGCACGAAUCUAUUGUAGAAUAGACUAAUGGUGUCGAGUGUCGAUCCCACGAGGAGGUGGAUUUUAAUUGUGUAGAAUUAAUUUUGUAAAUGGGUGGUUGCAUUUGUGGUGAAAAUGAUUUGGAUUAUCCUAAAAUUGGAAUUGAAAUGGCGAGAAUAAAUUCUAAAAUUGGAAUUGAAAUGGCGAGAAUAAAUUGAAGAGAAAUCUAUUGAGAUGACGUACUUGGGUAUCUGGAUCCGUAUCAACAUGCACCAUGGGCUAAAUAUUCCUUAUUAAUACCAAUUAAAUCAUGAGGAGGGAAUCCACACCUCAUGAACCACACUCUAAUCAAUAUGGUGCUAAGGGCUUAUCGUGCCAAAUAAUAAUAACGUUAUAGUAGAGAGCCGGUGUAACCAAGGCGGUAUCUAGACAAGAUUAUUAUUAUUUGUCGAUGAGAAUUCAAAAAAUCCACAAAAACUAGAGGGGAAGAGAAAAUAAAUUUACCAAAUUAAGCCCAUGACACAUGUUGAGACUUCACCUUCAAUCCAAGCUUGAAAGAAAAUUAGCUACUCAUAAUUGAACUAGGGGCAAAAUAGAAAUUUAUUAAAAUACGUUGAAAAUACAAGAUGGAGAAGGAAUUACAGAAAAUGGAUCCUAAAAAUGGAUUCAGAGCUAUCAAAUUAGGGGGGAGAGUCCCCAUUUUUUUAGAUACAUGGAGUAAAUUAUGGCCAUCAGAUUAAAAAUAGUUUGGACGCUCAGGAUUGCGCCACAUCAUUAGUCAACAGUACGCGGUUUGACCACGUGGAUGAACAGUGACACGGUUUGACCCGGGUUGAAUAGUGAGGCGGUUUGGUUGAAAAUAAUCCUGUGUGAUGCAUGUACCGUAUGCUAGAUUUUUCGUCCACUGAUAUGCUGCCACGUCACUAUCAACAGUACAUAAGAAUUUUAGCCCAACAGGAUCGUGACACCUCAUCAGUCAAUGCCACAUCAUCGGUCAAUACCACAUCAUCGGUCAAUGCCACGUCAUCGAUCCGUCUAUGUGAACAGUGUCAUGAACAGUAAUGUAGACAGUACCAUACACAUGAAUAGUACCGUACAUGUGAAUAGUACAAUUUUUCCUUUAAUGCUCCUCCUAAGGUUUUUGACCGUCCUGAGUUCAAAAGUGAUGUCCGUUUUGCCGUCUGAUCUCUCGUUUAUUGUGAAAUGACCAUGAUGCCCCUAAAAUACAUAAAAUACUUAAUUAAAAUCAAACACACAUGAUUAAAUUGCAAAAAGCUUAAAUACAUAAAAGUAAGGGUUGUUAAUAAAACUUGAAAUGUAAAAUGAUGAUUUUUUCCUUUAUAAAUAUACAUUUUCUAACACUCAACACCUAACAUUAAAAAAUAUGCAUGAAAAAUAAAUUGGCUGUUGGGUACUUAGUUAUAGAAAAUGACUUAGUCACCUAAUAAAAAAGGCUUUAAAUUAGCACCCAAUAUACCAUCCAACUCCCACUCAGUGUCACUAGGAAAACACCUAUAUUAUAGCUCUAGUUGCUUUAAUUCAGAGAAAACAUCCUUAUAUUGUAAUGCAACAGACAUCAUAAUACAUUUGGAAUUCUAUCUGGUGACAUAGUCAAGAACUAUGUUUCUAUUACAUGCACAAUUCUGCCUAAAUCUCUACACCUAAAUGUUUCUUUCCUCUUAACACUUCCUAUAAAAAAAUUGGCACUCUCUGAAAUAUUCACAAGAACAUCACCAAUAACACUUAAGCCACCCUUAACUAUUAAAUUUAAAAUAUGGGCAGUACAACGUACAUGAGACAAUCUGUCACUCAUGAUCAAUUUUUUUUUCAAGCUUUUGUAUCAAAUACUUAAUCAUAUGAUGAUUAACACUACAAUGAUCAACAGUCAAAGUAGAAAUCUUCCGAUCAAUAUUCAUUUGGAUUAAACAAUGCACCAAAGCAUUACAUAAUGUCCUAGCUUUAUAUCAAGUUUGAACAUAUGUAAACCUACAAAAAGAAUAAGUAAUUACAACUUGGGUUAACAUAUAUUUAAUCAUUUAUAAUAAUUUUAGAAAACAAAAUCCACUAAGUAAAAGAACAAUAUUAACUAAUACCAAAAUUAUUACCUAAGAAUUUGACUUUGUAAGCUCCAAGAAUCAUUUUAUAAUGUGUUGAAACUGCCAUGUAUCCUUUUGUUUAGGUGCUUGGUUGUUUGUAUAUCUAUUGUAAUGGUAAUGUUACUUGAACUACUCUCCAUUAAACUCAACACCUUAGUCUUAUCCUAUUGAUACAUCCAUUACUUCUUUCUAAUAGUAUUACGAGAAACAUGCUUCCACAUUAGGCUAAGGGAAGAUAAAACUUUCUUAAACCCUUGAUGCUCUACACAACUUAAAGUGUACGCAUGCCAAACUAUCAUCUCUGCAAUAUCCUUCCUUGAGAUAUUUGGACCAAAAAUAAAAGUUUCCAUUUUGGCAUUUCUUUAUCCAUCCUUUGCUAUUUUAAGCUGACUCUGACUUGAACAUUAUUCUAUUAUCAUUUGUUUUUUAUUUGGACAAUAUUUUAAUGGUUAAGCAAAAGUGUAGUUCUAUUUACAGCUCGUCCUGUAAGCUAUGCCUUACAAUAUUUGCAUACUGCUCUUGGUAUCCUUAUAACUAUCUUUUUUUUCCUUUCCAUAUAGGACCACACUUCAAAGGCUUUCCUCUCUUUGUCUUCGGCGGAUUUUGAGCAAUGUCAUCUGCUUUGUUCAAGUCUUCAUCUAAAUUUACAAGCUCUAGUGUCUGAGUCAAAAUAUUAAAACUAAAAUAUCAUGCUUAAAAAAAAAGAACAAAUCACAACAAUAUGUCAGUCUGAGAAUAAUGAAUUGAUAUGGAGAAAUACCAUUGGAAAAAUAAAAAACCACAAACAAAUGACAAGAAGGAAAAUUUCAAUAUUUAUAUAGAGAAAUGCCUGAUGAAAUAUUGAUUAUUGAUGCCUGAUAAUUGAUGAUUGAUAUUAAGAAUUUCAAUUGAUUUUUUUCCUCCAAACUAUAAGAAUGCGGACAUCCAAGAUAGAGCUUAUUUUUUUAUUUUGGAAAGAAAUUUGAUUAUUUAGUCAUUGCUACAGAUUUAGAGUUUUUAGACCAUCCUUGGCUAUUUUUCUAGUAAACAUUGCAAUGACUGUAAUUGGCAUCUUUAAUUAAAUCUUGUAAAGAUAAUUAUUCUUUAAAUUAUCGACUUUUAUGAUUCCUUAGGGUUUCAAAAUACUCCAUAACUAAAGGCUUAAAGACGCUAACUUUAGUUAUUCAUGUUUUAGUCUUUUAGGGUUUUAAUAUUUAGGUUUAGCUGUUAAUUAAUAAUUUAAGUUUUUAAAAAUUAAUUAAAAAAAAUCUAACAAUUUUAUGAGUGGGUACAGGUUUUAGUGUUUAACACACAUACCUUACCUAUCCAAUCAAUGGUACCCGCACCCAAUUUUCUUAUGAGAGAAAAGAAAAAUUAGACGUGAUACUUCGCCCUAACAUAAUGGGCCCCCGCAUGCCUCUAUACCCACGGGAUCUUUUGAUAUUCUUUGUGAACAUUGAACUUACUUCCCGAGACAAGAAACCUUUUUUUUCUUGUAACUUUUUAGAACAAAGUUUACUUGUGAAAAGUUGUGAAUUUGCAAAUAAUAAAUAGCUCAGUGGGUACAAACUUAGUUGGGACAUAUUGCCAACUGUAGCAAUACAAAUUACAUCUAAUUUUAUUUGAAUUACUUUGCACUUGAACUCCAUUAAAUGGCAAUGCAACUUUGAAUUUGUCAUAAAACAUAUUUCGUUCACAAUUUUAUUUUUUGUAUGUAAAUGGAGAAAAGUAUUUUGUUCACAAAUGAAAUAUAUUUCCUUUGACUAAUUUAUGAUUUCAUAAAUGAAAUAUUAAAGUUGUAAAAGUUUAGAUUUAUCAUAAUAAUAUCAUAUAUUCAUUUAAUAAAUUAUAAACAUAAAACAAUUAGAUUUGUUUUUGAAAAAUAAGACUUAACUUAAUUUUAAAAACCUACCCUAAUAAAAUAUAUUAAAAUAUUCAAUUUCAAGUUAUUUGCAAAAUCAUAACAUUUUAUGUUUACUUUUGCAUUGAAAAUUUUUAUUUUGACAUACUUUGGCCCGUAUGCUAUUGAUGGCCCAAAGGCUGCAUGGUGGCCAACCAGUGAAGAGUGCCUAUUACAGACUUUUUCACGUGUCAUGAUUUAGCCCACCUCUAACCGUGCCAUGCUUUUAAGGCAUGUAAUUAGUCUAGCCUAGUCUACUUAUGUGUGGGGCAAUACUAUGUGCCCCACCAAAAAGUGCUUGAUUAACACUGAAAGCAUACNNNNNNNNNNNNNNNNNNNNNNNNNNNNNNNNNNNNNNNNNNNNNNNNNNNNNNNNNNNNNNNNNNNNNNNNNNNNNNNNNNNNNNNNNNNNNNNNNNNNUCAAAAGUUUAUUUAAAUAAAAUGAGUGUUUUUGGGUUAAACACGAUGGGCUAAAUUUUCUAAGCUGAGGGUUAAAAGUAAAGUUCAAGGAUUCAAAUCAUAGAAUUAAUUACUCCUCUCCAUGUGAGUUUUAAGCUUUUUUUUUAUUUGUUAUAUGUUAUGAUUUGUAUUUUUCUUUAUUGGUUACUUUUAUGUUAAGUUAAUUUGUAGAUCUAGAUUUUCUUGGAUUUAUAUGGAAAUUGGAUAUAAUGUUGACACUUAAAUAUAGUUGUGGCAUAUUAGGUACUUGAUCCCAUUUUUAUCCAUACAAAUGGUCAAUUAAGAAUUAAAUGACAUACUAAUUAACUGGCUAAAGAAAUACAAAAUAUAAAUAUGAGAGAGUAUUAUGAUCAUAAUUUGAAAACCGAUAGUGAAUCUCGUUAUCUUAGCAUUUUUUCUAGAUUGGUCUCUAUUAAUUUCUUUUUCUGUAAUUAAUUUUUAUUUAAUAAUUGGCUACUAAAUUUAUAAAUUCCCUAUAGUUCGACUCUAUACUCACCAGAUUAUAUUAUAACGAGAUACUCUUAUACUUGGGAGUAAUAAAUACUUUUAAGUCGUGUCAGUAUUUGUGCGUAUUGUGCUUGUGCCAUGCCAUUUGCUCCCUAGUCCAUUGGCCAUCUCUAGCCUUUGCAUUAUACAAGAAGUUCAUUUUAAGAAUUAUGUAAUAUUUCAUUAUCAUUAUAACUACAAACCAAGCAUCCAACACCCAAGCACCUAAAUUCAGGUUGGCUACUACUAUACCAUUCAACACUAUAUGAUGAUUUGAAGCAAGACUCAUCCUACAAAUGUGAAGUAUUGCCUACUGCUCAUUUCAGCAACCUAACUUCCUCUUUGAGGUCCCUAAUAUUGCUUUUCAGCACUUUUGCCAAUGUAGCAAUGUCUCCAAUAACUUUGUUCAGCUUUUAAGUGAACUCAUUGACAAACUCCCUGUAAGUUUGCUUCUCACUUGCCAUAUCAAUCAAGUUGAUUUAUGUUUUCCUUGCCAAACUCUCAAAGUCAAGCUGUAUGGUACCUAAAUUUCACCAAUCUAUCCUUUAUUAAUUCUCCUACCACUUUAGUUUUCACCGCUAGUCACACAACUUAUAUGCUAUUGCCAAUUUUUCCCAAAGUUACAAUAAUCUUACUCUUGCAGUAUAACUUCCUUAAAACCACAUUAUACCAGUUAUAACCAAAAUUGAUGUAGCUGAGCUUUGAUACUAGUUGUUAUAAGAUUUUCUUUGAAGAUAUGGCAACCCUCAUGAUUGUGCUAAGUUUUACAUGGCCAACCACGUCAGAAUGCCUAAAAUGCCCUCUAAGGCCCAUAAUGUUAAAAGAGACUAGCCAAAAUAAUAAAUGAGAAUAAAACAACAAAAUCAAAUAAUAUUUCAUAGAGGCUCAAACUCUGAACCUGCCUAUUAUUUAACAACUAAAAAGAAAUAACCUAAUUAAGGGUAUGUAUGAUGUUUGAACUAUCUCAUUACAAAGAGUGAAAGAACUUUAGUUUUCCAAAAUAAAUGAUUUCUAAGCUCUUUAGCCGAAAAGCUAUUUACAAAAUGCACAACCCAUACCCUAUAUACAAGUCAUAACCCUACUUGUCUAGGCUAGGUGGCAUUCUCCAUGAUGCCACCUUAAAUUCUAAUCCUUCAAGUUUAAGACCCACUCACCUACUUCCAUUUUAGGUGGGUGAUUGAUAAUUCUAUGCAAUGAGAGUUAUCAUGACACUUUUAGAUUUAAAUCAAAACUACUUAGAGAGUAAAUGAUAUGUUUUCAUUGUAUUUUUUGUUUUAUUUUGCAUAAUCAUUCAUCUUAGUUUACUCUUCAUAAAUUUUGUUUGAUUUAGAAUAAAGGGAAAUUAUCAUUCAUAGACCCUAUAUUUACUCUGUUAUCAAAAAUACUACAACACUUUGAGGGUGUAUCAAUCGUCCACCCUUAGUUGACAAAAUGUAUCAGCCGACCACCAAACCGUUAGUUGCCGUUUGAAAGUUAACGGAGUUACAAUGAAUUGACGAUUUUACCCUUGAAAAUUAUCACUUGUAUACCCUUAAAUUCUCUUUUUAUCACUUGUAUACCCUUAAAUUAUCACUUGUAUCAUAUGAAAAGACCAAAUUACCCCUUAUGACGUCAUCAUACUUAAACAACAACUAACGGAUUGGUGGUCAGCUGAUACAUUUUGUCAACUUAGGGUGGACGAUUGAUACACUUUCAAAGUGUUGUAGUAUUUUUGAUAAUGGAGUAAACUAAGGGUAUACAAAUGAUAAUUUCCCUAGAAUAAAUUGUGUGCUUAAAUCAUAUGCAUAAUUGUAGAUGACCGGAAGCUCAAAUUGCAAGGAAGGAAUGCUAAUGAAAUAGGCUUGCAAAAGAUGGAAAAGAACUUGGCUAUAGAAGAAUUGAAACAAAUCUGGAACAGUGCAAUUGCUGUAGUAAUCGUUGCUGGAGCAACCAUUGCCAUUACUGUAGCAAUUCUAGAACACCGAUAGAGAAAAUUUUGUAGAAUAUUAUGAUCUGUAAAUUCCUAAUCUAGAAUCUGUUUACUCUAAUUUUCAACUAUAAAAAGAGCACACAUCAUAAGAAAAAGGGGGAGCCGUCACCCAAGAAGAAAAACCACAAAGAAACAAAAGAAAAAUAGGAUUUAAGAGAGAGAUUUAAGGCUGAACAAGAGGAGAAUUUACAGAAAUCGAUUGGAAACUCAGUCCUUCUUAUUCUUCUAUUGUUUUCUUGUUUACUUUUUAGUCUUGAGGAUGUGUUUAAUGACUGAAACUUUGUUCUUUAUUUUUCUUUUGCAAACCCUGAACUAAAUUUAUUUAUGGUUGAGUGAUAAACAAUCUUGAUGGUUUAUUGAUUGAAUAUAUAUGUUGCUGCAUGUUUGCUAUAGCAUUUUGUUUUGAUAGUAUUAUUUCUAUUCAUUAUUUCGUCUGAUCACCCAUUUAAUGAUAUGUCUAAGAAAGAGCCACAAAAUGGUCUCUCUUAAUGGAACAUAUCAUAGUAAUGCUUGGUUAUAGAUUGGGUUUCCUGGAUUGAGUUUAACUUGAGUCCAAAAGAGUCAUGCUUAAUCUAAAAUUAGCGAUGAACUAGAUAUAGGAAUUCACCUUGUAGGGUAAUUAGAACCUAAGUGUAUAAUGCAAUAUCUUAUGUUAGUAUAACAACUAAUCAUUAUUAGGUUGCAUAUAGAUAGAAGAUAUCCAACAUGCAAUAGCUGAGGGUACAUAAGGAUUCUGCCCAAUGCUGUAGCAGAUGUUGUGGCAACCGAGCCAAACAUUAGAAAAAUGGUCAAAACCAUUAAGAGAGUUUAUUCACUUAACUACUCAAUUCCCAUUAGUUUUAUCCUUGUGUGUGACGUGAUAAUUUAUUUAUUUACAUUUCUAUUUAUUGCAUUUUAUUUCAAUUAAUUUAUUAGUUUUAUUAACUGUUUUAUUUUUUAAUUUAGAACAAAAUCUGCACUGUUAUGAUUGCUGUAGCAAAUCUGAUAACAUCAAUCCCUGUGGAGAUGAUCAUAAAUACUAAUCAUUAUAGUACCUGUUGUGUACACUUGCACAUUGACACUAAUAACAUUUGAAUUUACACCAACAAUGAUUAAGGCAUAAAAUAUAAAACCAUUUAGCAAGCCACUUCCCAAAUACCCAUGUAGUUAGGAACCACUAGCCACUAUGCCUAAAACUGAGGAUGCGCAUGACCAAGUCACCAACAUAUCGCGAGCCACUUAAAUUUUCCAGCUAAAAAGGCCAAAUUAAGCCAAAGUGUACUAGCUUGGCUUGAUUCUUGAAAUAUCCAGCACUCUUUAGCAUACUUUCACACUUGUACAUAACUAGGAAUUCUCUAGUAUUUGCUAGAGUAUUGUAAUAUGUACUAUGUACAUGCUAUAAGAGGUCUCAUCAAGCCUUGAGAGUGCUCAGAGACAUAGAAUUCUCUAGAAUUGGGCAAGCCUACCAUAUGAAUAAAGCUUGACACAUGCCAUUUGAAACACAAAACACAAAAGCAACUAAAGCAUGCAUGUAAGCUCUCAAGCUCUCUUGUACAUAUUUUAUUUAAUAUAUACUUUCUCUUUGGCUAUGUUACUCUCUCUUUUCUCUAUCUUUUCUAUAAGCAUUUUAGCUUAGCUAACCGAGAAUUUCAAGGCUUACUUAGCAACUUUCGGGCAAAAGUUAUCUAAUUACUCCAUCGGUUUACUGCACGAAAUAUUCAUCCCAUGACAAGUGGUAUCAGAGUUAUAGUUUGCAUCCUAAUAAUUUAGAUCACGUUAUAGUAAUGGCUAAUCUUCUAAAUCCUAGUACAUCAUAAGAUAUUGUUGCCGAGGUGGAGCCACCACAAAAGCCAACGCAUGGACAUAACAAGAGUCGCAUGCAAGCAAAGACUCUGGUAAAUCUAAGGUCGUUUCCAUUGACACCUUGGAACCUCUCAUUACUAUGCUUGAAACACCAAUGUCUGGUUGUUGUAAUUAAUUCAAAUGCUAUUGGUGUCAAUGUGCAAGUGUACACAACAAGUAAUAUAAUGAUAAGUAUUUAAGAUCGUGUCCACAGGGAUUGAUAAUAUCAGAUUUGCUACAACAAUCUUAAUAGUGAAGAUUUUAUUCUAAAUUAAAAAUAAAAUAGGUAAUAAAACUAAUAAAUUAAUUGAAAUAAAAUGCAAUAAAUAAAAAUGAAAAUAAAUAAAUUAUCACGUCACACACAAGGAUGAAACCAAUGGGAAUAGAGUAGUUGAGUGAUUAAAGUCACUUAACGGUUUUGACUAUUUUUUUAAUAUUUGGAUCGGUUGCUACAACAUCUGCUGUAGCACUAGGCAGAAUCCUUAUGUAUCCUCAGCUGUCAUAUAUUGUAUAUUUUAUAUCUAUAUGCAACCUAAUAGUGAUAAGUUGUUAUGCUAACAUUAUAUAUAAUAUUUCACGCUUAGAUUCUAAUUACCCUACAAGGUGAAUCCCUAUAUCUAGUUCAUCACUAAUCUUAGAUCAAGCAUGACCCUUUUGGACUCAAGUAAAACUUAAUCUAAGAAACCCAAUCCAAAACCAAGUAUUGCUCUAAUAUGUUAUACUAAGAUAGACCCUUUUGUGGCUUUUUCUUAGCUAGUAUCAUUAAAUGGGUGAUCAGCUGAAAUAAUGAAUAGAAAUAAAUACUAUCAAAAUAAAAUGCUAUAGUAAAAAUGCAGCAACACAUAUAUUCAGUCAAUAAACCAUCAAUAUUCUUUAUCACUCAAUCAUAAAAAAAUUUAGUUAAUGGUUUGUAAAAGAAAAAUAAAGAACAAAGUUUCAGCCAUUAAACACAUCCUCAUGACUAAAAAGUAAACAACAAAACAAGAGAAGAAUAAGGACUAAGUUCCCAAUUGAUUUAUGCAAAUUCUUCUCUUGUGCAGCCCUCAAUUUCUUUCUUGAAUCUUGUUUUUCUUUUGUUUCUUUGUGGUUUUUCUCCUUGGGUGACAUGUCUGCCUCUUUUUUUGCGUAUGUGCUUCUUUUAUAGUUGAAAAUUAGGGUAAACGAAAGUCUAAAGCGUGCAUCAUUCAAAUUAGGAAACUGCAGAUUGCAAUAUUCUAGGUAUCUCGCGCGAAAUUUUCUCUAUCGUUGUUCCGGGAUUGCUACAGCAAUGGCUACAACAUCUACAUUAUUCCAUAAUUGUUUCAAUUCUUUUGUAGCCAUGUUCUUUCCUUAUUUUUGCAAGCCUAUUGCAUCAGCAUUCCUUCCUUCAAUUUUGAGCUUCCGAUCACCUACAAUUAUGUAUAUGAUUUAAGCACACAAAUUAUUCUAAAUCAAACAAAAUUUAUUAAGAAUAAAUUAAGAUGAAUGUUUAUGCAAAACAUAACAAAAAUGCAGUGAAAACACAUCAUUUAUUCUCUAAGUAUUAUUGAUUUAAGUCUAAAAGUGUCAUGAUAACUCUCAUUUCAUAGAGUUAUCACACCCCUAAACUUAAACCAUUACUUGUAACCGUGAACCGUUUAGCAAGAACGGUUAGCCAAAAUUUGUUUCGCAGGUUUCUGGAAAUAAAUAGCUAACCGAUAAUUCCAAAUGGUUAACCGACUAUUUAAAAUCUUAGCUCAACGGUCAUUUAGACUAGUCAAAAUGGUGAAUCGACAUCAGUUAAUAGUGAUCCAAUUUUUCUCAGAAAGUUAAUAACAGCUAGUUUUUAGUUCCAACUAAAAACGGCUCAACCAAAUUCAAACAAAAAGAGAUCUAAAAGUUAUCAUUGAGCUUGCUAUUAAGUAUACAAUUCUUAUUGAGAUUUAAACUUAUUUUUGUUUCAUUGAUUCACACUUUGAGCUUUUAUUUGUAACCAUAUACAUUUGAGUGAUUAUAAGUGUUGGGAUACACUUGGGUAAAGAGAUUGGGAAUAAUCUCUUGUCGUAAAGGUCUAUUGACAGCUUGAAAGUUAAUUGUAAAUGUUGUUGAACCCUUGAAGGCUUGUUUAGUGAAAUCCUCAAGCCUGAUGAACUUGGAGGCGUGGACGUAGGCACAGUUGGCCGAACCACGUAAAAAUCACGGUUUGCUCUCUCUUACCCUAUCUCUUUUUUUUAUUGCACAUUAAUUUUUUUAUUUCAAAUUUGAUUGCUUUGUUUAAAUUGCAUUAAGUUUUUAGUUGCUUAAAUUUUUAGAAACCCAAUUCACGCCCCUCUUGGAUUGCCUAGUUAUUAUUUCAAUUAGCAUAACUUUUCAACCAACUGGACAAAGUACGAUACUUUACUAUGCUCGGCUUACACUUUAGGCACUAUCAAGUUCGUAUUGUUAAGGAAGAUGAACUGAAGACAACAUAUACCAUAUAUAGAUCUUUUAAAUUCCUUAUUAUGCAGUUUUUCUUAUAAAUGCACCAACUACAUUUUACAUCCUUGUGAAUAAAGUUCUUCAACUAGUCCUCGACUAUUUUAUCAUCGUGUUCUUCGAUGACAUUAUGGUGUGUAAUACCACACUUAAAGAACAUGCAUAAUUUUUACAAUAAGUCCUCUACAUGACAAAACUCUUUAUUAUAAUAGAGAAGUGCUUGUUCGCACAACAAAAAAUAGAGUUUCUUGGUCAUAAGAUUAUGGAUGAAAAGCUAAUGAUGAAGAACUCAAGGUUCUCGAAUAGGAGCCUCUCACUAUGGUGCUCACGCUACAAUCAUUUCUUGGAGUAGUGAACUAAUACCAUUACUUUAUCAAAGGUUACUUAGCAAGGCGGCAUGCUUGACUGGCCUUUUUAAGAAGAAUAGAAUAUGGCAUUGAUAUGAAGAAUGCUAGCAUGCUUUUAAACAUUUGAAAAAGGGUGUUUCAGAAAAAAUUAUCCUUUCUUUUUUAGACCACUCUAAGCCUUUCGAAAUUCAGAGGGAUUUUUUAGACUUCUCUAUUAGCGAAGUCCUUAUACAAGAAGUCUAACCUAAAGCACGGAACGUCGCUACAAAGUGUAAGAAAAAAAGAUAAUAGCCAUCAUCCAUUGCCUAGGAGUGUAGCCACAAGAUACUUCCAAACCCAUAAAAAGUUAAGACCUAAACAAGCAAAGUGGUAAGACUUUUCAUGGAGUUCGACUAACAAUUCAAAUACAGACUGAAGAAAGCCAAUGUCGUAGCAGAUGUAUUAAGCUGCAAGAUAAAAUUAGCAACACUUAGUACGAGCUAAUCGAAGUCUAACCUUGUCUCACAUAUCAAAUAAGGCCUCUAACAAGGCCCUUUAGCCAAAGACUUAGAAGCAUAGCUUACUAUUUCUUCCUACCAAUAUCACUAUUUUUAUAAUAGGAAUGGACAGAAGAGUAACGCCUCUACAGUGAUCUAACAAGAUAUUUUACAAUUAGGUUGUCCCUUUAAACCUAGUUCUUGGGAUCUCUAGUCAGCUAAGUUGGGUUUUCCUUUGUAAAAUAAACCUUUCAUUCAAUGGGAUUUAGUCUUAUUCCCUUCGAUGAUUUUUCUGCUAACUCUCUAUUUAACCCUUUAAUUAGGAGAUCCACAAUAUUAUUUUUUCGUUUCACAUAGUCAAUACAAAUAACUCUAGUAGAGUAUAGUUGUUUAAUGGUGUUAUAUCUACAAAGUAUUUGUCUAGAUACACCAUUAUACAUAUUGCUCUAUUCCAUUAUGAUUGUUGAUUGACCAUCACAAGAUAUGCAAAGUAUUGCCACAUGGUUUGGCUAUUUUGGAAUACAUUAUAAGAAAUUCUAUAGUCAUUCUACCUCUUUACCACAUUUGUCCAACGUAAUAAAUUCAUAUUCUAUUAUUGACCUAGCUAUUACUAUUUGUUUAGAUGAUUUCCAUGAAAAGACAGGACCUACUAGUGUAAAUACAUAGCUGCUGACAGACUUUGAGACUUUUACAUCAGUAUCCAAUAUGCAUUAUUUUAUCUUUCUAGUAUAAUAGGAUAUCUAGUAUAGUGCAACCUAUAAUUACAAGAAUAACAUAAGCACCUACAUACUCUUACUAUUGCUUUCUAGUGAUCAAUUCCUAGAUUACUUAUAUAUUUAGUAAAUUUGCUUAAUGCAUAAGCUAUGUUUGGCCUUCCACAACUUGUUAGGUACAUCAGACUGCCUAUUGUUUUGGUGCUUGCUUCAAGCCAUAUAAUGACUUCACUAAUGUACAGACUUUCUUUUCUUGUCCUAGAGCUAUAAAGCCUUCAAGCUGUUCCAUAUAAAUUUAUUCAUCUAAAUUUUCAAUUAGAAAAAUUGUUUUUACAUCCAUUGGGUGUACUUCUAAAUUACGUAAUGUUGCAAUUGGUAGUAUCAUCCUAAUGGAAUUUAUUUUCGUUACAGAAGAACAAGUAUCAAGGCCUUGUCGUUACUUAUAACCUUUGGUUAUAAGUCUAACCUUAUACUCAUCAUUAAUCCAUCAGUUUUUAUUUCUCUUGAAUCCACUUGGAUUCUAGAGGUUUGCAUCCAGGAGGAAGAUCUUUUAAGGAUAAUUUUGUAAGAUGGAUUCAAUUUCACUAUUAAUAGCAUCUUUCUACAAAGUGCCUUCGGUUGAACUUACAACUUACAUAAAGCUUUGUAGUUCACCCUCUAGUAAAAAAGUUAAAAAAUCUGGGCCAAAUAAUUUUUUUGUUCUAACUCUUUUACUACGUUUAGUUUGAAAAUGAACCUCUUAUUAACUAUCUUGAACUUUUCUUGUUCUUGGUCCUCACUAUCUUUAAUAAUAUCCUCAUGUGUUCACUUAAAUUGAACUUGAAUCCUCCUUCAAUUUACUCAAAAAUACAUGCUAAAAAAAACGAUGCAUUUCUAGAUUCCAUUAUCAUAUUCUUGUGUAUGUUUGGUAUAUUCAACUCACACAUAAGAAAUCAAUAGGCACUAUUGUUAUAUGCAUAACUAAUUAAAAUGUAAUCUACAAAAUUUUGUCCUAUUUUUACCUUCUUUGGUGAUGAAUGACCACUUUAGCAAGACACCCCCACAUGCGCAAGUAUUUGUAGGAAGGUACUCUACCUUUCCAUAAUUCAUAAAGGGUUUUCUUUGUUUCCUUUCGAGGUACCUUAUUUAAAAGGCAAUUAAGUGAUAAAACAACUUUCCCCCACAUAUUCUGAGGUAGCCUAUAACUUAUUAACAUUGCAUUAAUCAUUACUUUCAAAGUACAAUCUUUUCAUUCAGCUAUCUCAUUGGAUUAAGGUGAGUAAAAAGAUGUAGUUUAAUGUAUGAUUCUAUAUCGUUCACAAAGUGCAACAUACUCAGUACCUGUAUCAGUUCGUAACUCUUUAAUUUUCUUAUUUAGUUGAUUUUCAACUUCAUUUUUAUAGAGCACAUAUUUCUCCAUGGCUUCGUCCUUACUUUUAGUAAAUACACAUAACAAAAAUUUGUGUAAUUUUUAUGAAAGGUAGUAAAAUAUUUAUUACCACCCCUUGACUGUAUGGAUUUAAAAUCACAUAUAUCACUAUGUAUUGAGUCAAGUGGGUUAGUGAUCCUUUCAAUUCUUUGAAAGGAUGACCUUGUUAGUUUUGUCUCAACACAAUAUUCAAACUUAUGUUUCGUAUCAAUUUGGAAAUAAGGUAUACGAUUCAAGUUAAUUAACUUAUGCAAGGCAUUAUAAUUUGUUAGAAAAGCUGAUACAAAAGAUUUUACAUUAUCCAUGCAUGUCUAUUUUUCAAUAUUUAUCUUGCUCAAAAUUGGCCUCAAAAUAACGACUUUAUACUUUUUUUUCACCAAUUUAUUGUUAUCUCAACUUUAUCUCAUAAAAGGUUUUAAUUGCACUAAGUUUUUAACUAAAAAUUUUGACGCUCUCUGAAAGAUAACUAAAUUCAUUCUUUUGUUUAAAUGAAAAUUCAUUUAAACAGUUAAAUAAGAUAUUCUUUUAACAAAUUUUUGCAGCCACCCAUGAAAAUUAUUUUCUUAAAGAAAAUUAUAACAAAAUUUUGAGUUAUGGAGAAUAUAAUAUGAAGAAAAUAAUUAAACAUUUUAGGAUCUGUAUGUAUAAUGAAAUUUUUUUUAAAGAUGAUUAACUUUUUAAUAAGAAUUUGCAUUUUAUAAACUAAACUGGGGGUAUUUUAACAAAUAAAAUUUGAAAGGGGUGUUAUAAGAAUUUUAUAGGGGUGUUAAAUACUCCACUUUAUAGCAUAAAGCCUUUCAAAACCCAAUGAAAGUUAAUUAAUAGAGUAGUGAUAUUUGGCACUCUUAAAUUAUCUUACCAGUGGCCACUUUUAAAUUUAUAUCAUUUAAUUCCUAAAUUAUCCAUAUUAAAAUUAAUUAUUAUUUCUAUUUAUUUUCUUUUUGGGCCAAUAAUAAAUAAGGAUAAACAUUAAACACCGCAUUGCAAUGAGUUAUAUUUUUCUAGAUCUCGUCUUACUACAUAAUAAUAAUUAUUUAUAUAUUUGUAAGAAUAUAUGUUAUAUUAAAUUAAAGAAGCUUGCAUCUACAUACACUACUACAAAAAUGACUUUUAUUGACACUUAGUUGACCAACACUUUGCAAAAAGUGUCAGUAAUUAUGUACAUAUGCACCAUUUUCCGCUUUUGACAAAUAGGUAUCAAAGGUUGUUGAUACUAGUAUGUCAGUAAAUUAAACAUCAAAGAUCACUAACACUAAGGUAUCAGACAUAAAAAAAAAAUCAUUAAAAUUUGUUUUAACUCCAACUUGAACUUGAGUGCUCUAAGGUUUAAAACUUUAAUGUUCGGAGCACACUCCAUCAAAUCUCAUUGAAUCAAAGUCAAACUAAUAUGUAUAUUAUUUAAAAAUAUAAAUAUAAAUAUAAAUAACAGCAACACAAAACUUACACUUAAGCAGUUUUCCCCAUCUACCCAAACUGUAUCGACUAUCUCUAUCUUACUUUUAUCUUUCUCUUUCUCUUUCGUUUUACACUUCUCAAUCUCUUCUGUUUUGCAUUAUCCAUUUACAAAUUAAAUUCAAUUAAUUUAGAUAGAUAAUGAAAAGCUAAAACUCCAUUUCCUUUUUCCAUAUUCCCCAAAUUGAAAAACAAACCAAAACCCUAAUCGCUUGUUAUCGAAAGGGUUUUUUUCUCCAACUAAACCAUCUAGUGUCUAUAUUGGGCAAGUGAGUUAAAACCAUCGACAAGAGGUGAAGUGGCACCAUCAGUUGCGUAUUCAAGUUAUCCCAUUCUCCCUCACAAGUUAAGUCCAGAGAAAGAACUGUAGAGGACGUUGUCAAUUGGUAAUGGCUGAAUAUUUUAUUUUUUUUGGCAAUUUAAUUAAUGGGUUUGUUUUAAUUUAGCUUAUUAUUAAUUUUUUUAUUUUAUUUUUUGGGUUGUUUCAGAUGUUGAGAAAUUGAACCAGUAGUGUCUGGUGGGUUUUGUUUUCCAAAUCUUUUUUUUCUUUUAUUUAAUUGUAAUUUGAAUUUAAUUUUUUUAUUUUUCUAUAUUUUUACUCACAUGCAGUCCAAAAAUACAGGCAUUUUAGGUUGUGCAUUACUUAAACUCGAAAAAAUCACUGCUGCAACUCUGUUUUUUCUACCACAUUUGAGGUUAGUUUAAAACUUGUGUCGUGUGAUUUACCGUCAUUGUUAUUUAAAAUUAGGAAAAUGCAUUUUUUUUUUAGUUUCUGAAAUAAAUUGUCAGAUCCGUGUACUAAAUUUGAUUAAUAAGUUAGUUGAUUUUGAAUUUACUGAAAUAUGAAUUUUCACUUUAGUUUUUGCCUUUAUGAUUAGGAGAUAAUUGUUUGGGUAUUAUAUUGGUUGAAUGACUGUGUAUUUCGUAAUUACGAACUAUUUACAUCUCCGUUUCAUGUAAAGAGAGGCAAAUUUUGUUAUAGAAUCCUACUUGUUUAUUUAUUUUGUUUUGGUUGGAAGAUUUGUAAUAGAGACAAUGACUAUGAUAUGAAUUAAUUAAGUUCGUGGUUGUGAGUGUUUUGAGAUUGUAUAAAGUUCAUGAUUUGUCUUUGAUUCAAGAAGGAAAUGCUUGUUUUAAGGUAGUUCUGCUUGUUGUAUUUGAAGUUAAAAAGUGAAUUAUACAAUCUUAAAAAAUGGCUUGCAAAGUGGUAUGACGACAUUUUUUAUUUCAACUCUUAACUUUUGUUAGUGUCUUCACUUAUGAAUUAGUUCGACUACUUAAAAAGCCAUUAGGGCCCAUCUUACUUGUUCAUCUCCUAUUUAAGUUUCAAAGCUUCUUUUGUUUCAAUCUCAGGAUUUUGUCCAAAUUAUUAUUAUAAUUCAAUGGUUUAUAAGGACUGUUAGUUAUUUUCUAGAAUUAUGAGUUUAUUAUUGCAACUAUAAUUAUAAUAACAUUGAACAUUGAAAUUAAUCAUGCAAUUUAAUUAUACUUAAACUGACAUUACAUAUAUGAACAGGUAAAAUAUUUGAAAUAGACAGAACUUGGAUAACUUGUGAUAGAUUGUCUAUAGAGUAUCAUACCAGAGUCGUUGAUUUCUUAGAUUUUGACAUUUUAAAUGCUGAAAACCGAAUGUCAAUUAGAUGUCCUUUCACCUUUUGUUUUAAUAUGGCGUUUCAUACUCCUCGACAGAUGAAGGAUCAUUUAUUUGAAAAAGGUUUCUCCAAAAAUAUAUAGUUUGGACUUGGCAUGGUGAGACUGACCCUAAAUCUACAUCUACAAAGUGUGAAGACCAUCCACAUAGUCAAAGAUUUAGAUGUCAUGAUUACAGUAACAUAAUUGACAUGGUCGAAGAUGCUUACGAGCAUUGUGAUAGAGAUCCUAGUUUUUUUAAGGAUAUGCUUAAAGAUACUAAAAAGCCUUUAUACCCUGGUGCAAAACAUUCAAAACUAUAUAGUUCAAUGAGACUUUACAAUGUGAAAGGAACUAUGAGUGGUCCAAUAAAGGUUUCCUGCUUUGUUAGAAGUCUUUGCUGAUAUUUUUCCAAAUAAUAAUAAUUUACCUAAGUCAAUGUGUGAGGUUAAAAAAACAAUGAAAGUGCUAGGCUUAGAGUAUAAAAAAAUACAUGCAUGUCCAAAUGACAACAUUUUGUACAGGAAUGAAUUUGUUGAUCUUACUGAAUACCCAAAUUGUAAAGCAUCUAGGUAUCAAAGAAAAAGAUAGCUCAACAAAAUUUAGGAAAGUGUUUUCUAAAAAGAUAUUAUGGUAUUUUCCACCUAUUUCUAGGUUGAAAAGAUUGUCUCAAUCACCACAAACAGCUCAAAAUUUAACAUGGCAUGGUAAUAAAAGAAUUAGAGAUGACAAGUUUCGCCACCCAGCAGACUCACCAACCUGGCAACUAAUUGAUAAUAAAUGGCCAAAUUUUGCAUAAGAACCUAGAAAUCUCCACUUAGCUCUCUCAAUUGAUGGGGUUAACCCACAAAGUACACUUAGCACUACUUAUAAUUGUUGGCCUGUUAUAUUGAUGACAUAUAAGCUUUCUCUAUGGUUGUGAAUGAAGAGAAAAUUUCUGAUGCUGUCUCUUUUGUUAUCUGGCCCUAAACAACCUAGAAAUGAUCUAAAUGUAUACCUAGCACUUUUGAUUGAGGACUUGAAAACUCUAUGGGAUGUAGGUGUUGAUGUUUAUAAUGCUUAUAGAAAAUAAACCUUUAAUUUACGGGCUGUCUUGAUAUGGACAAUCAGUGACUUUCCAACGUACAGAAACCUCUCUAGUUCUACUGUUAAAGGCUAUUAUACUUGCCCAAUUUGUGGGAUAGACACUUGCGCAUGUUAGCUAUCGCCUAGUCGGAAAAUGUCAUAUAUGGGCUAUCGUCACUUUCUACCACUUGCUUACCCAUUUCGAAAACUGGAAAAAGGUUUUAAAUGGGAAGCAACAAUAGAAUUAUAUAUAUCGUAUAAUACGAUCAUAAUCAGAAUCAAAAUAACUACGGACAAUGAGCCAAAACAUUCAAAUUAACUUUUCAUAUGUAAUGACUUAUAUGUGUCACUUUGCACUAUAUGCGGCACUUUGCGGCGUUUUGGCCCUUAAAAGGUGGCACCCAUAUAGUCUCAAGAGGUGCCCCCGUACAAUCAUAAAUAAUAGAGAUCAUACAUAGGCACAAAACAUUCGUAUCAGAUUCAUGAAAGUCCAUAGCAACAAUUUAGGCUUGUAAAAUAUUUCAUAGACAAAAUUAUAAAAGGUAGUCAUGUCAUAAAAUAAUUUACAUAUUGAAAAACAUUUAUAAAAUAUUUUGUUAAAAGAAUUUAAUUUGAAAACAUUUUCAUAAACUAAUUUUGUUAUGAAAAUCCAUUAAUCUUUUAAGUAGUAUAAAAACUCUUAUAAUAAUAUCAAAAUACUUAUACAUAUCCAGUAUAUUAGGAAUGAAGUUACUUACCUCGAUAAAAGGAUUUGAAUUAACACACCUCUAAGCCUCUAAAAGUCUCAAUCACCUCCAACACUUUAACAAAUAUAAGAUAUAACUAUCAAUAACUUAUCCUAAGAAUCAGAUUUUCUAAUUCAUACCCGUACUAGUCUCAUUCUUAGAAUUUGAACUCUUAAUCUAAAAAUCAAAAUGACAAAAUAUUCUAUGGAACCAUUCAGGACAUCCAUGGGUACCUCAUGUAAACUUUUCAAGAGGAUUCAAUACCAAAAAUAUUUUCAAGACUAUUUAUUACUUGACAAAUUCGAAACUGUUUCAUACUACUUUAACCGAACAGAACGUGUUCUAAGAUUUUUAUAAAAUCAGAUACUAAUCAGAAAAUUAUGAAAUUAAAACUGGAAAUAAUAGACACAUGUAUCAACUCAUAAAAUUUCAGAAUGUUUCGAGUUCGUUUAAAAGUACAAAUAAGUUUGUGAAUCUGAUCGCCUUGUUGGAAUCGCCGUUUUCCAGUGUAUUAGUGUCAAUUUCAGAAAUCCAUAUAUAUAAAUGAAAAAAAAAAUCAAAUCUUAUGAAAUAAAAUUUAAUCAAUAAGCCUUACAUGUAUAGUUUUCAGAAAUAUAAAGUUCUUAUGAAAAAUUAUUCAGAAAAUAUAUGUUUGAAUUCGAGAUACUCAUAUUGUCCAAAAUUUGUCCAGUGUGUUUAAUGCACCAAGGGUUGAUUAAUAAAACCCACAAUAAAUCAGAACCCUAAACAGGACCUAAACGCACCUUAAAUCAUGUACUAUGAUCUGUAACAAUCCAAAAUCAUGCUGAUAUAAACUCUAGAUAGAGUGAUUGGAAAUCUUGUGGAAAAUAAAGAGAGUAAACUUACCAAUCGCUUUGAUUCUCUCUUAAACAAAUAUUUAAAUCCUAGGGUUUGGGUAGGAGCGUAAUGAGCAGCAAAGAAAAGAAGAAAUGUUGUGAACUUAGGGUUGUGGAAGGGGGAAAGUUAUAAAUUUAUAAGGAGUCUUAUGAAACCCUAUUGGAUUUGGAAAAAUAACCCUUUUUCUAAAAAUUACCCCAUGAUUAACCCUAUUUGUAAUUUUAAUAUUCUUUCUUUCUUCCUUUUUUCUAACAAGAGUUAUAAAGCCAUGCAUAGGGAUGGCUAUUUAACCCGGACCCGGAUCGGACCCGGAUGAACCCAAAAAAUUCGGUCAGGGUUCAACCCGUACCGGAACAAAUUAAAUGUGGAAUCCGAAUUGAAUUUUACCAACUCGGACGUAUCCGGGUCUGGUUCCAGGUUUGGGUGAACCCGUAAAUCCGGAACCCAGGCCCGGACAUCUUUAUUUAAUAUAAAUUGAAAAAUUAAAAAAAAAAUUAGCCUUGCCCUAAUUCGCUGCCGCUGCCAAACAUUUCCACUCUCUCCCUUCUCUUCAUCAAAUCAUCAUCAAGCCAAACCAUUUUCUCUUCGUUCAGCCCUUCUCUUCAUCAAAUCAUCAUCGCCACUCACCAUUGCUUCGCUACUUUGUUGUGUUCAUGUUCAUCAUCAUCAAAGGUGAAAAAGAUCAAUGAAGAAAGAAUAAAAAAUUAAUUAAAGAAUACAAAAUAAAAAACCAAACAGCAAAAGAAGAAGAAAAGGAGAUUAGAAGUGCAGCCGCAGCAAAGGAAGAAGAAAGCAAGGGUGGAGAUGGGAAAAAUGGUUUGAACAACAUACAUGAUUUUGAAGACCAAAGCUCAUUUCUCCCCUUUUCGACUUUUCUUUACUUAACCCCACAAAGCCCACUUUAUCAUCAUCAUCGCCAAAUUUGUCAUCAUUAUGUUUGAAAAUUGAAUUUUGUAUAUGCUCUAUUGCCUUUGAAUUUAUUUUUAGUUAUUUGAUUUUGCAUUAUUUUCCAUUGCUGUUGGUAAUAGGUUAAAGAUGUAAGGAGGAAUUCAUAGCAGAGGAGAGAGAAAAUCGUUUCUCUUUAACAAGCAUCCGGGUUCUAAACCCGGAAUCCUGGAACCUGGACCGAACCCGGAGUAUAAAUAUCCGGGUCCGGUAUUUUCAAAUUACCAUCCGGGUCUGGAACCGGAAAGGCUAAACCCGGACCCGGACCCGGAUUUUGCCAUCCCUAGCCAUGCACGAUUUCUAUUAAAAGCCCAUUUUCCAUAAUUUAAUAUUAUGGAAUUUGGCGUUACAACUAUUGUAUCAUAAGAUUACUAUACUACUUUUGAAGUCUUAAUAUGGUCUCAUUGUAUGGAGCAUAUACAUUAUUUAGGAUCAAGAAACCUCUAUAAGGUAAAAAAAAAAAUUGUGGUUGCAAAAUAAACACAUUUGUACAUUUUCUGGUUGGUUACAAGAAAAGGUUAGAAUUAUUGCUUAACUAAAUACAAUAUAGGAUAUAAACUUCAAUUUUAACAAGAUUUUUUUUCAUGUAACUAAUUACUAUACUUUCUAAUUUAAAUUAAAGGUAGCACAUGAUAGAGCAAAUAAUGUGUCAGUUGACGAAAUAGUGUGGUCGUUGGCAAACAAACCACGCUCAAGCGUGGUGACCUACCCUGGCUACAAGACCAAUGGCUUCAAUUUUGCAACGAGAGAUCGGGACAAUAAUCGUGUAACCCAAAAUAGUGGUCUUGGAGUUGUCGCUAACACUCUACAAAUUUCAAGCUCAAAAGAUAAAAGUCCCCAUUCUUGAAACAUGACGUUUUAUGGAGUCAUUGAUGAGAUUUGGCAACUUGAUUAUCUGAUGGUUAAAAAAAAAAACUUUUCAAAUGUGAUUGGGUAGAUGAUAAUGGGUUUGCAUUGACAAUUUAGGUUUUACUGUAGUUGAUUUAAAUCUAAUUGCUUUAUUCUAGCUUGUCAUGCAAAGCAAGUGUUUUAUGUAAAUGACUAGCUAUAUAAUAAUAAAUCAAUAGUUUGUUCAGUGACUAAAAAAGCUUAUAAGUUAAAUGGGGAAAGAUGUGAAGACUUGGAUGUAUUUUUGCCAUUAUCUAACAAACUUCCAAUAUGUGAGUUGGAUGAGAAAGAUGACGAAGGAAUUUAUGACAUAAAAUAUUGUGAUGCUAUUCUAAUAGAUAUUGAUUUAGAAAAUCACUGAAUGCAUUAUUGUAGCUAGUUUUCAGCACCAAUUUUUACAGUUUUCCAAUAAGUGAUUUAUUUAUUUGAUUAUAUGCUAUUACUCUUGUAUUAACUUCUUAAUUUAAUUGAUGUGCUUAUUUGUUUUAAUCAUUUUUAGGAUUAUAGGAGAUGGUUGAAGAUGAUGAGUUCACUUUUCUAGAGCUCGAGGGAAGACCAAGGAGAAGAAAACAAACAAAAAAAAAAGGCUUGCAAAAAGAAUAAUUUAGUAAUGAAGCUAUAAUUGAGUACAAUUCUUAUGGUGUUCCAGUUGGAAAGGAAAGGAAUGAUCUUAGGAGUUACAUUAGAGUCAUUGUACGUGAAACAAUUUCGUUCUUACCUGAUCAUUGGAGGCGUGUGACAUUGGAGAUGAAGGAAACUAUGUGGCUUCAUUUUCAGGUUUUCUUUACUUGUUUAAUAGUAUGUUUAAUGAUUUUAUAUAACUUCUAGUUUUGUUUAAAGUUGCUGCUAAUCCAUGUCAUUAGUUUAAAGAAAAAGUUCAAAUUGAGCUUGAAUGCAAAAGCCAAGUGUUAAAAUGGAUGGGGGUUGCAUCAAGAAACUUUAGAAGUCAGCUGCCAACUGAAUUCGUUCUACCUUACAAGGAUGAUUGAAAAUCACUGAGGUUGCCUCCUAUUGAAUAUCCGAGCAUUAAAAAAGAAGAUUAUAAACUUUUUGUUGACAAAGUUUUUUCUGAAGAAUUUAAGGUGUGUUAUUUGUUAAUAUUACUUGAUUUAUUUGUUGCUAGUUAAUAAUAAUAAAUGGUAACCUUUUUGUUCUUUGUCGUACUAUUUGUGUAGGAAAAAGGAAAAAAAGCAAAAGAUAAAAGAGCAAAGAAUAUCUACAAUCAUCGCUUUAGUAGCAUAAGAUAUGGUGGCAUGUUUUAUAGAAAAAUAUGUAUGGUAAGUAAUCUAAUAUAGUUAUGCAAUAUAACCCAACUAAUGCAUAUAAUAUAAUAUAAUCAAUUCUUUUUGUUUUCUGUCAACUUGUAACAGAAAAAUGAGAGUGGAGUUUUUUAUCAAGAGAUUGGCCGUAAUGAAGCUUGAUUAAUGGCACGAGUAGACCGAGAUGGCAAAUAUGCUUCUGAAGUGAUGCCAAUUUCUGAGAAAAUAGUAAGUCACUUGUAUACUUAAUUCUUUUGAAUUUCUUUUAUAAUGUGUGUGUGCACAUGUAUAUAUUUACAUACAUAUAUAAUGCUUGUUGUAAUAACUGUCUGGUAACAUUUUACAAGUGACAGAAGCUCAGUAAUACUUUAUCAGAACUUACUUCUUUGCAUAUAAAAAAGGUUAAAACUUGUGUGCAUGCGUGUCUGUGUGUGUAAUGAAAGAGAUGUCCAGGAGAUCAAGCGCUUCUAUGAGGUGUUGUCUUGUAAUAUUUUCUGUAGUUUCAAUUUAGACUAUAUACGGACUUGCUUUGUUUUGAAGAUUUGAGAAGGAUAUUAGUUUAUUUUAGCUAAUAUCUUAUCCUCGUAAUUGUAGAUUUAUAAAUGUUUUUGGUACAAUGAGCUGAAGAGUCAAGUUGAACAAGGAACAUUCCAAUCACAAGGGUCAAAUGACAUUCUAGGUCAAGCCCUUUAGAAGCAGCCAAAUGGAAGCAGGGUGCAAGGAGUGGGAUAAUUCAUCACCCCAUCUAUGUACUUUCCUAAGCCCAAAACUUCCACUGUUGUUCAGAUUGACAAUUAUCAACAAUCGCCUGAAACUCUUGCAAACAGAAAGGUUAGUACAGAGAAUAUUACAGGUCAUUAUUUUAUUUCUAUUUGUAUGUGUAUGUAUUACUACUAAUGGUAUAUAUUUUGAUUAUUUCAUAGGUUGAUUUCCCAUUGGAUAAGUUGACUCCAAAAUCUGUGAAGAGUAAAAUGAAGGACACUCAUACCAUAAUUUCCCAACCAACUCCUCAACAAACUCCAAAAAAAGUAGAGUGUGAAAUUACUUCAAAGCCUACACCUUGAAGAUCUCCUAAACUAACUCCUAAAGUACUAGAUGUGCAGUUCUCCUGUGAUGAGAGAGUACUAAAAAAAAGAACCAUCGGUCAUCAAACCAGUAGUAAAAAACCUCAAGCUACGUGUGAAGAAUACACGGGCAGCUGCACAAUCAAGAAAGAAUGAUAUGAGUGAAUAUAUGAACAUACUUACUAUGUCUAUUGAGAAUUCCUUGCCUCGGUUGAUCAGGAUUCAGCAUGACACAACAACUUUUAGUGAAAUUUGGAAAACACAUUUGGACAAAAUUAUUUGCUCUGAGAUCAUCGAGUUUAAGGAGGUAUUAAACUACGUCAUUAACAUAUGGAUCGAGUCCGGUAAAUCGUAGCAUAUGUUUUAUUAAACUUUGAGCUAUUUUUUUGCUUUUUUUAUUCAAACUUACUUCGUUAUAUAUGUUUGUUUUCUCUUAGAAACUUGCAUGAGGAGAUGGAGAACAAUAGAAAUACCAAGCCGGUUCAGUUUGGGCUUUUUGACAAGCUAUAUCCAAAGGCUAGUUUUAAAGAUAGGACUCAAUAUAUUUCAAAACGUUUAGGCUUGGCAGAGUUGGGACAACUCAUCAUAUUCCCAUAUAACCUUGGGUAUAAGCUUUUUCAUUUGCUAACCAUAUUCUUUAUUUAGUAGAUUAAUUAUGUAAAAACAAUUACUUGUAAUUCAUGUGUAAGAACAAUUUUUACUUUGUUUAGUGGCCACUGGGUAUUAUUCAUAAUUGAUAUGGUGAGACAUACAGUCUAUUAUCUUGAUCCCUUGGAAGGUAGUCCUGAUGAAGAGCUAAUGCAGAUUGUGAAUUAGUAAAGUUUGUUAUUUUUAUCUUUUAUCAUGUUGUUUUAUUUUUCUAUUUUAUGUUAAUUAUUUGCUAACGUUGGCUACGUCUUCAUUGUAGUGGGAUUCGAAUACAUCAGACUUUAAAGUCUGAUACAAAUGCCAAUGUUCAAUGGGUCUCCAUCAAGGUAAAAAUGAGACAAAUCUAAAUAAUUAUUGUUAAUGUACAGUAAAAAAAUUAUGAAAUUUUGAUUUUGUAGUGUCUGAGGCAACCUAGCAGCUUUGAAUGUGGUUACUACGUGAUGAAAUACAUCCAAGAUAUCGUCACAAAUGUGAACGUUCUGAAAAAUAAUGUAAGUAUUGAAAAUAGUUUUUACAAUACUGCAUUAUAUUGUUUUAAUGUAUUGUGAAAUGAAUCAGCUUAAAGACCUAUUGUGUGCUUCUUGAUAGUUAUCUUUUUACCGUAUAUUUUAUUUAUUUUAUAUAUUGUAAGUAAGGGUACUUAUAAUGGCAAGUAUGUUGCAUACUGUUGAAUAGAUUAUAUGAAUAGCCAUAGAGACAUGAAUUAGGAUUUGAGAUAUACACAAUGUACUGUAUAUCUAUGUGUGUGUGUUGCAAAGUUGGGAUAUACAAAACAAUUACAUGGGUUGCAAAGUUGUUAUUAGUGGGGAUGUGUACUUUACUUUGAUGAGGAUAAGUUAUCCUAAUUAAGGUUUUGUAUCUACAUCUAUAUUUGCAUUAAAUUGGGUAGUGUUGGGGUUCACAAGCUGCUUUAGCUAUCGAACAUUAUUGUAUAAGUUGAUUGUAAAGUAGUAAUUGAUAGAAUAAGUACAUCAACACUCAUUGAAUUGUUUUUUCAAUUACCAUGAUCGAAUGUUCAGUAUUUACCUAUAUAAUUUUUGAUAAAACAGUAACAUUGUUGGAGUUUAUUUGUUGGCGUUAAUUGUUAUCACACGAAUAUAUUUAAAUGAAUGAUAAUUAAGUAGUUUAGUCAAAGAUUUUCGGUGAAUAACUUGUUGUUUUGAAAUUAAAGUUCAAGGGAAUUGAUGAAUACACCGUUAAGGACCUCUUGUGACUUCGGGAUCAAUGGGCUACAUAUGUUGCCAAGUUAAUUAUAGCCUACAAUCACGAGGUAACAUACAAGUAAUUUAUGAUUAUUUUUCCCUUAAAAUAUACAAGACUUAUUUUUCAUGGUGUGUUGAUUGAUUUUGUGUCCUUGUAAGUGAAAAAACAAUGAAGGCAUAUGUAGACUCCAAAAUCAGUGACAUUGUUAUCUUUUUUUUUUCUUGUUGGUUAAUGUUUUCAUAAAUUAAUUUAGUACUUUAUCUUGCUCUACUACCAUCUUGGGCCGAAGUCUAACUCAGCCGCAAAAGACGUCUUGUGAGGUGAGGACUACCCAGCACUUAUAAGCUAGCACACAGCCAGGAUCCCAACCGAUGUGGGAUGAGGUGCUUAUCUUUCACACACUCAUACCCCUCGGUGAACACCUGGGCUCUGAUACCAAUCGAACAACCACUACCACCCAAUGGUGAAGCCACUCCUUGGCUAUAAUUCAGGAUAAACUGUGGUUGGUACGAUCGAUCUCAAACCCAAAAACUUUCUAAUGCACAAGAUUUUAUAAAGAGGCGUGUGUAGAGCAUACUCAUUAAAAGAGAUUGAAGUGAACUAUUAUGAGAACUUGUUGUCCUUCCUAGGAAAUAAAGGAAAAGAGAAAAAUCAAGAUAAAGUAAAGCACGCCAAAGCAAACACUUUGCUUUUACAAAAGCAAAAGCAACUAUUACAAGAUAAAGAAAAGUUUUGCUUUUACGAAAGCAAAAGCAAUUAUCACAAAGUGCCUUAAAAACUGUGCGAGGGAGAUAAGUUGUCAACAUCACUGUCUACUUCACCAAAUGGUAUCUGCCACUAUUGUCAGUUUUCAUAAUAUAGUCGGGUAGGUGAGCCUGUUGGUGUAUCUGUCACCAUUGGUGGAAUAGUACGUGUAGAGGGUGCAUAUGAGUCUGUCGGUGGGGUUGCGCUUGAGGAGGGAACAUGUGAUGCUUCAGUAGGAUGAAUGAUUGAGGUGAAUUCUUUCCAUGGGUCUUGUGAAUAUUGGAAGAGAAUAUCCAUGAAAUCAAGCUUUUAUUCUUUAAUCAGAAUUCCAGACGGAAGAAGCUUACUGGAUUAUGGUGACCUGGCAGUCGGAACGGUUAUGAGUUCAUAUUGUGGUCCAAGGGAGGUGUGCUGGAUGUCAAUAGGAGGGAACUGGACAUUGUUUAGUUCAAAGAGGUAUUGUUUCAGUGCAGAGACAAGGUUUGGGUAAUGAUUUAGGGGGAAACUAUGAGGAACGGUCUUCCAUUCAUAUGCUUGGUCCUGAGUCUAAAAGAGUUUGGUGAUAGAGUGUUGGAAAUAAGGUCGGUGGAUGAUGAAUACUGAGGUGAACUGUUCUCCUUCUUGAUCAUGUAGGAGAUUGAUGUGUUGGUGUUUAGAACAAGAUCUGGGGAGUGAGAGAGUUGAAGAAAUAGUAACAGGAGCAAGAUUAUCUGAACUAUUUGAUGAAGAUGCCAUUUUGUUUUGGAUUUUCCUUUAUUUCCUAUUCGAGACGAACAGAUCUCAUAUUUACCACUUCAUUUUUAAUAAAAAAGCAUUAUGCUCAAAGAUAUAAGAUAAUUGUACGUGGCUUGUUAUACCAGUAGUGCAAACUGAUAAAGUCCCCAUUCGGGAUGACCAUUAGAAUAUAUGUCACUGGUUUCUCGCCGAUAUAAUUAUAUUCUAGCUUGUGGGCAAACAGUUUUGUUUGGCUCUGAUAUUAGUCGGACAACCACUACCACCCAAUGGUGAAGCCACUCCUUGGCUAUAAUUCAGGAUGAACUGUGGUUGGUAGUAAGUUGGAGGUUGUUGUUGAGCGUUAGAAAAUGCAUAUUUAUAAAGGAGAAAAUCGUCAUUUUACAUUUCAAGUCUUACUAACACCUUUACUUUUAUGAAUUUAACCUUCUUUUGAUUUAAUUCCGUUUGUUUUAUUUUAAUUAAGUAUUAUUUCACAAUAAACGAGAGAUCAGAUGGCAAAACAGACAUCACUUUUGAACUCAGGACGGUCAAAAACCUUAGGAGGAGCAUAAAAGGAAAAAUAGCACUGUUCACAUGUACGGUACUAUUCACGUGUACUGUACUGUAUACGUUACUGUUCACGACACUGUUCACAUAGACGGAUGAUGACGUGGCAUUGACCGAUGAUGUGGCAUUGACUAAUGAGGUGUCACGAUCCUGUUGGGCUAAAAUUCUUAUGUACUGUUGAUGGUGAUGCGGCAGCAUAUCAAUGGACGAAAAAUCUCGCGUACGGUACAUGCAUCACACAGGAUUAUUUUCAACCAAACCGUAUUACUGUUCAUCCGGGUCAAACCGCAUUACUAUUCAUCUGGGUCAAACUGUGUUACUGUUCAUCCACGUGGUCAAACCACGUACUGUUGACUGAUGACGUGGCGCAAUCCUGAGCGUCCAAACUGUUUUUAAUCCUAUGGCCAUGAUUUACUCCAUGUAUCUAUAAAAAGGGGACCUCUCCCCCCUAAUUGGAGAUCUCUGAAUCCAUUUUUGGGAUCCAUUUUCUGUAAUUCCUUCUUCAUCUUGUAUUUUCUUCGUAUUUUAAUAAAUUCCCAUUUUGCCCCUAGUUCAAUUAUGAGUGGCUAAUUUUCUUUCAAGCUUGGGUUGAAGGUGAAGUCUCAACAUGUGUCAUGGGCUUAAUUUGGUAAAUUUAUUUUCUCUUCCCCUUUAAUUUUUGUGGAUGUUUUGACUUCUCAUCGAUAAAUAAUACUAAUCUUGUCUAGUACCGCCUUGGUUUCACCGGCUCUCUAGUAUAAGGUUAUUAUUAUUUGGCACGGUAAGCCCUUAGCACCAUAUUGAUUAGAGUGUGGUUCAUAAGGUGUGGAUUCCCCCCUCAUGAUUUAAUUGGCAUUAAUAAGGAUUAUUUAGCCCAUGAUGCAUGUUGAUACGGAUCCAGAUACCCAAGUACAUCAUUUCAAUAGAUUUCGCUUCAAUUUAUUCUCGCCAUUGCAAUUCCAAUUUUAGAAUUUAUUAUCGUCAUCUCAAUUCCAAUUUUAGGAUAAUUUAAAUCACUUCCACCACAAUUCAACCACCCAUUUACAAAAUUAAUUCUACAUAUAAUUAAAAUCCACCUCCUCGUGGGAUCGACACUCGUCACCAUUGAUCUAUACUACAAUAGAUUCUUGCGCUUGCGAGUACAUUAAAAUGUGCACAACAAGUUUUUGGCGCCGUUGCCGGGGAGGUAAGUAAUUUUAAUUCAUAGAAUUAAUUUGUGUGAAUAAUUUCUUUUAAAUUGUUGUCUUGUAUUUUUUUUAAAAAAAAAAGAAAAAAAAGUGAAUCUGCAUUUAGAGGUUAGUAUUUCUUUUCUUUCUCUAUUCUUUACAAUUAUACAAUUUAAUUUUUAAGUUAUUUUUCUUUGUAAUUUUUGUUUAUCUUAAUUUAAUUUUCUUUAUUAAGUUUUAAUUUAAUUUUUAGUUAAUUUCACAUAUUUGUUUUUGUGUAUUUUUAUAGAAAGGUUGUAAUAGCGCAAUAAGGUUAGUAUCGUAAUUUCUCUCUCUUCUUUAAUUUUAUUUGUUUUGUUCCCAUCUUUAUUUUUUUUAUUUGUUUUGCAUGCAUGGUCGUAGGUCAUUAUUAUCUAAUCUUGAACCUAUAGACCUUGAACUAGAAAAAACACUUCGCAUGCACAAGAACGUUAAAAAUAAAAUGGAUUUACAAGCACCACAGGAGAGGCCAUUUAAGGACUAUUUUAGUCCCUUAGCUAAUUUGAGCACAUCAUGCCUAAGAUACCCAAAUGUAGCUGUUAGGAGUUUUGAAUUAAAACCCAGUGUGCUAAAUUGUCUCCCAACAUUUUAUGGCCUAGAAAAUGAGGACCUAUAUAAUCAUCUGAAUGAUUUUCAUGCAAUUUGUCAAACUUUUAAAUAUGAAAAUUUUUCAGACGAUGAUAUUAAACUCAGAUUAUUCCUAUUUUCUUUAAAGGAUAGAGCUCGUUCAUGGUUAAAUACUUUACCUGCUAAUAGCAUUUCAUCAUGGGAACAAAUGGUAACAAAAUUUUUGAAUAAAUAUUUCCCAGUGCAUAAAACCAAUGCUAUUCGCAGGGAAAUCUCAGAGUUUACCCAGAGAGAGGACGAGCAGUUUUUUGAAACAUGGGAGCGAUUCAAUGGGCUACUCUUGAAGUGUCCACAUCAUGGGUACGAGAAAUGGCACCAAUGCCAAUACUUUUUGAAGGGAUUAUUGCCGAAUGUGCAAGAAUGGCUAAUGGCAACAAGUGGAGGAGAGCUAAAGUCAAAAAGUGCAUCAGAAAGAAGAUUACAGCUGGCAGAACUUGAAGAAAUUCGCAAUGAUGCAUACGAAAAUGCCAAGAUUUACAAGCAACGAAUGAAAGUCUUCCAUGAUAAGCAAAUUAUGAGAAAAUCGUUCACUCUAGGUCAGAAAGUGCUUUUAUUCAAUUCUCGCUUGCACCUAUUCCCAAGUAAGUUACGCUCUCGUUGGUCUGGCCCAUUUAUUGUUCAUACUGUUUUUCCACAUGGGGUAAUUGAAAUUAAGGACCCAAAGAAUGGUGUCACGUUUAAAGUUAAUGGUCAAAGAUUAAAGCCAUAUCUAGAAUACCAACCACAUGGAGAAGACAUCGAAAUAAAUUUGAGUGACCCACCAAAUUUGAAUUGAUUUUUUUUUUCGGUGAUUUGAUUUUUUUUCUUUCUUUAUAUUAUUUUUUUGCUAAUUGAAAUUAUUUUUGCAUAAGUGUGUUUGUUUAACUAUUAAGUUUUCUCUUAUCAUUUUUUAUCAUGAGUACCUUACUUAGACCGUUCCUUCUGAACAUUCUUAAACCACUUCAACGUGUCAAAACUCAUCUCAAAAGGCAGAUUCAAUUUUGUAAAACACAUCGUAUUUGGGCUCUAUAACCACCAGAGUUAGUAGCCUAUGUUGAGAGUUUAGAAAGCCAACUCAAAGACAUUGAGAGAAGUGUUUACGACAUCCAGUUGGAGCUUGAGGUAAAUUCAAUAAGAGGACGAUUUUAAUUUUCUUUGUGUGUUUUAAUUUGUUUUUCUGUUUGUGUGCUUUAGUUUGGUACCCCGGUGAAGUGGCGGAUAACGGUACUCCGUGACAAUCAAGUCGGUUACUUCAGUUUCCCAUAAUAACUGAUAUUCUGAGGUGAAGGUAUGGACAGAAACGAGAUUCUAGCGAAGCUUCACAAGCGAUUCCCUUCACUUCCUCAUAAUGCCCUCCUUACGAUCUAUGAAGCUUGGUCCGAACGCAUGCGAUUGCUCAUGAGUAAUAACAUACCUGCUGAUAUUUGUUGGUUAAUUGAGGCAAAAGUACGAUUGGCAGGUGAGUUACCUCCAAAUUUUAUUACAUACAUGCCUGCUUGUGGUAAAGGAAAUUAUGUAAGAAAACGACGAGCUCGAAGAAUUUCUGUUGCUUGUCAUAAGUGUGCCAGAAUGAGUUGCAAUAAAAACCCAUAUUCUUUAGGAAUGGUGUCUGAUAACAGGGAAGAUAAGACUCAAUUCAUUAGGGAUGGCUUGAAUAAGGAAUUAUUGGAUGAUAUCCUUUUGUCUCUUGAAACGCAUCCCAGUGGAUAUGUGCAAGGAGUGAUUCUCCAGUUAUGGCCAUUAUUCCAGAAAGAGCAUGCACGAUAUAGUCUUGGGAAUCUGACCAUAAACGACCAUAUUUGCCAGUUUAUAAGAAAACUGGAUAGGAAGCCUAUCCUCGACCCAUAGAGGGCGUUCAAGCCGUUUCUGGACGUAAAACCAGAGGAAGAUGUGAGCCACAGUCGCAACUACCUGUAAAUAUCCUUUCACUUUACUGUUAUUUUAUUUCACUAUUGUUUUAUUGUGUGCAUUAUUAUCUUUAAUAAUUUUAUUACUGUUUUCUUUUUUCUUAUUACUGUUUGCUUUUUCCCUUUUACUGUUUCAUUUUUUACUAGUGAGCCACGUGCUUUACGCGUUAUUUGACACUGAUAUGUUACCUCAUACACAACUGUGAUCCACUGUCACCAAGAUUCUUAACUGUGAUUUCUUUUUUGUCAAGCACUCAUAAAUUAUUUUUGAGAAGUAUCACAAUGGCAACUACUCCCAAUAGACAAUUCAAGAACAUAUGUGUGCUUUCUGGAUUUACAUAUGGCAAACAUAACGAGUUCGUUGAGGCAGCCAUAGAUCUUGGUCGAAGCAUAGCAGCGAGAAAAUUACACUUGGUGUAUGGAGGAGGUAAUCGAGGGUUAUCAAAAAUGGUCUCAGAAACAGCUUUUAUCAGAGGCAGCCAAGUGUUAGGCAUCAUCCCAAGAGUCCUAAAACCAUUGGGCAGUUCGUCUGACUCAUCAACUGAAGAAGAGUUAGUUGUAUCAGGUAUGCAAGAAAGAAUAACUAAAAUGCUUAAUCAUGCUGAUGCUUUUAAUUUCCUUCCAGGAGAUCUUGCAACAAUAGAGGCACUUAUCACACUAGCAUCUUGGGCCCAUCUGCACAUCCACCAGAAACCCAUUGGUUUGUUAAAUGUCAAUAACUUUUAUGAUGGCUUUAUCGCAUUUCUUAACCAUGCAAUAAAAAACUAUUUCAUUCCUUCUAAUGUGAAAAAACUUUUUAUUUGUGCUUACACUGCUAAUGAGCUACUUGAUCUGUUACAAGCUUAUAAACCGGAGCCAGACCCCUGGACCUUUGUGUUGGAGCGCCCAAAUAAUGAUGGUAACAGUAGCCGCAGUAAGAAGUACAAAUUAGAUUUAACUCUCCGCUUGUAAAUAUUGUUUUCUGUGUUGCACCACCCAGGUGAUGUCUUCUAAACUCUACUUCUUUCCUUUCAAACAUUGAGGACAAUGUUUCGUUCAGGUUGGGGGGAGGGAAUAGUCGACAAUUGUGGAAUUUUGGUUAAGUUUUUACUAAUGUUUUGUUGUAGAAACUAACUGUUGCUAACUUUUUGUGUUGAAGAUGGCUAAAUAUGGAGUGCAGUGCCUCUAGAAAUGCAUCUUCAUCGUUUAAAAAAAAAUUAAAAACUAAAAAAAAAUUCAGACAUUUUCUUUUUCUUUAUUAUGUUUUUAUGUUUAUUUUUCUUCUUUUUAAUUUCUCCUCUAUAAAUAUACAUUUUCCAACUUGUGAGUCGAAGAUGGCUGAAUAUGGAGUGUAGUGCCUCUAGAAACGCAUCUUCUUAAAAAAAACAAAAUAAAACCAUUUUCGUUUUCUAUCAUUUUACGUGUAACUUUUCUAAUUAAUUUUUCUGCAUCAUUUUCAUAUUUCUGCAUACAUAUUUUCCUUUCAUGUUUAGAAUAGGUUGGGGGGUAGAAUGUUGUUUAAAAAAAAAUUGUGUGAUUUGUUUUAACAUGAUUAAUUUCAAAUUUUAGUAUUUGUAUUAUCUUUGGUCUUAAGUGAUGUUACGCUAUGUUUGCUACUCUACAUGUUGAUGUCGGAGACAAAUGUGAGUUGCUUGAAGGAAUGAACAUGUCAUAAUAAGUACCAAGUGAGUUUUUGAGCCUAUUAUUUUUCUUGGAGAAUAACCCUUUUGCCCACUCUUUAUACAGCUUAGCAGUUUAUUAUUUUACACACGAUCUUUAAAUUGCUUUUGAGUUAACCCUUAAAAUAAAUUAUAAAAUAAAAAAAAAGAAAAAAAUGUGUGUUGUUACAUUGGGAGGCCCAUCUAACUAGUAGAUAUGGAUGAUUAUUUAGAGCCCUAAAAGACGAUGGAAAUGCCAUCUUUGUUCCGUUUGAGCCUUUCUAGCCAUCCCUUUUAUUAAAUAUCCAUAGUUAACCCUUUUGAGCCUUUAAAAAAAAAAAAACCUUUUCUUUGUCAACUUAUCAUCUUGACCCACUCCGAUUGGGAGUAUUACCCGAUGUCUUAUAAGUUCCAUCACCUAUUUAUAUUUGAGAAAAAUGUAAAUAAUCAUUUUGUUCAGUGAAGUUAUGCCAAAAAAAAAAACAAAAGUUGUUGUUUCAAAAGAAUAAAAAUAAAAAUAAUAGGUGAAAUCCACCUUGCAACUUUCAAAAAAAAAAAAUUCUCUGCAUUUUUCUCAAACAUACACUUUGCUUUCCUUAUUUCCCUUCUUUGUUAGCCAUGUCCCCAGCCUACGUUACGUCCUAAUAAAAGUUCUUCUUGAUUUUAGGGAACUAUAGUUUGAAGUAGAAGCUAGUUAUAUGGGCUAAAAAGAUGUAGUGAUGCAUAAUAAAAAAAAAAAGAUAAAUAAAGUGGGUUGACUAGCAUUUUUGUUUGACUUGAGAUCGUAUUAUUUCUAAGCUGAGGGCAUAUUUAUUUCAUCUUGGUGAAAGCAUGUGAUAUCACUUCUUUAUUAUUUUCUCUCUCAAUUACCAUUCAUUGGAGUGACUAUUUUUAGUGGGUUUAAUUUAUUUGUGAGAGUGUCACUACUUCCAGUGAGAUUUUGGGGUUUGACAUGUCAUUCUUAAAAGUAGAUAUAACAAAGUCUACUGGAUUAAUUCAUGUGGAUGGUUGAUGUGAGUGUGAUGUUACUUUAGACUGGAGAUAAUGCUUAUACUUUUAUUUGAUUGCUAUCAUUAAUCUGAUUGAAUAAACACGAGUGUUUCUAAAUUUAAAAAAAAAAAUCAUUUUGAAUUUGAAUUUUAUUUUCGCUUCAUUUGCUAGGGACUAGCAAUAAGCUGGUUGGGGGGUGUGUUGCAUGUUAGAAAAUGCAUAUUUAUAAAGAAGAAAACUGUCAUUUUACAUUUCAAGUCUUACUAACACCUUUACUUUUAUGAAUUUAACCUUCUUUUGACUUAAUUUCGUUUGUUUUAUUUUAAUUAAGUAUUUUAUGUAUUUUAGGGGCAUCAUAGUUAUUUCACAAUAAACGAGAGAUCAGAUGGCAAAACGGACAUCACUUUUGAACUCAGGACGGUCAAAAACCUUAGGAGGAGCAUAAAAGGAAGAAUAACACUGUUCACAUGUACGGUACUAUUCACGUGUACGGUACUGUAUACGUUACUGUUCACGACACUGUUCACAUAGACGGAAGAUGACGUGGCAUUGACCGAUGAUGUGGCAUUGACUGAUGAGGUGUCACGAUCCUGUUGAGCUAAAAUUCUUAUGUACUGUUGAUGGUGACGUGGCAACAUAUUAGUGGACGAAAAAUCUCGCGUAUGGUACAUGCAUUACACAAGAUUAUUUUCAACCAAACCGAGUUACUGUUCAUCCGGGUCAAACCGCGUUACUAUUCAUCCAGGUCAAACUGUGUUACUGUUCAUCCGCGUGGUCAAACCACGUACUGUUGACUGAUGACGUGGCGCAAUCUUGAGCGUCCAAACUGUUUUUAAUCCGAUGGCUAUGAUUUACUCCAUGUAUCUAUAAAAAUGGGACCUCUCCCCUGUUGUGCAAAUUUUAAUGUACUCGCAAGCGCACGAAUCUAUUAUAGUAUAAAUCAAUGGUGACGAGUGUCGAUCCCACGAGGAGGUGGAUUUUAAUUGUGUAGAAUUAAUUUUGUAAAUGGGUGAUUGGAUUUGUGGUGGAAAUGAUUUGGAAUAUGUUAAGACUUGAAUUAAAAUGGCAAGAAUAAAUUCUAAAAUUGGAAUAGAAAUGGCGAGAAUAAAUUGAAGAGAAAAUCUAUUAAAUUGACGUACUUGGGUAUCUGGAUCCGUAUCAACAUGCAUCAUGGGCUAAAUAAUCCGUAUUAAUGCCAAUUAAAUCAUGAGGGGGGAAUCCACACCUCAUGAACCACGCUCUAAUCAAUAUGGUGCUAAGGGCUUAUCGUGCCAAAUAAUAAUAACCUUAUACUAGAGAGCCGGUGUAACCAAGGCGGUAUCUAGACAAGAUUAUUAUUAUUUGUCGACGAGAAGUCAAAACAUCCACAAAAACUAGAGGGGAAGAGAAAAUAAAUUUACCAAAUUAAGCCCAUGACACAUGUUGAGACUUCACCUUCAACCCAAGCUUGAAAGAAAAUUAGCCACUCAUAAUUGAACUAGGGGCAAAAUAGGAAUUUAUUAAAAUACGAAGAAAAUACAAGAUGGAGAGGGAAUUACAGAAAAUGGAUCCCAAAAAUGGAUUCAGAGAUAUCAAAUUAGGGGGGAGAGGCCCCCUUUUUAUAGAUACAUGGAGUAAAUCAUGGCCAUCGGAUUAAAAACAGUUUGGACGCUCAGGAUUGCGCCACGUCAUCAGUCAACAGUCCACGGUUUGACCACGCGGAUGAACAGUAACACGGUUUGACCCGGAUGAACAGUAACGCGGUUUGGUUGAAAAUAAUCCUGUGUGAUGCAUGCACCGUACGCGAGAUUUUUCGUCCACUGAUAUGCUGCCACGUCACCAUCAACAGUACAUAAGAAUUUUAGUCCAACAGGAUCGUGACACCUCAUCAGUCAAUGCCACAUCAUCGGUCAAUGCCACGUCAUCAUCCGUCUAUGUGAACAGUGUCGUGAACAGUAACGUAUACAGUACCGUACACGUGAAUAGUACCGUACAUGUGAAUAGUGCCAUUUUUCCUUUUAUGCUCCUCUUAAGGUUUUCGACUGUCCUGAGUUCAAAAGUGAUGUCCGUUUUGCCGUCUGAUCUCUCCUUUAUUGUGAAAUGACUAUAAUGCCCCUAAAAUACAUAAAAUACU